CAGGAACAUAUGUUAUUAUUGCAGGCAACCUGAACAUCGAUCGAAUAAUUGUUUAGAACACAUAAGAAGUAAUAAUGAUUGUCGACAGGUUAAUGUGGUUGAGGAAGUGGUUAAAUCUAAGGAGGAAAUGGAUGAAGAUAAUGGUUUAUUGCUAGUUCUAAAGAAGAGGAGGUUACCUAUGUAGUGAAGAAAAUUUUAUUUUCGACGAAAUAAGAGGAUGAGACGUAAAGUAUGAAGAUUUUUUGAGCGAAGUAUCGAGUGGGAGAAGCGAUUUGCAGUCUAGUUAUAGAUAGUUGCUGUAAUGACUCGGAAACCGGACCGCUACCGGCGCUAGGAUUUAGAUCGACUUAAGCUCGCCGGAACCCGUAGCAAGCCUACUAUACAUCCUGGGUACCUAAUAAAAUCCCAUACAUAAUCAUACAUUAUCACAAAAAUUUAUACAUUCCAUGAAACCAAGCUCAACCUGUACAUGUAUCAUACUGAAAACAUAAAACUCAUACUAGAGUCCUCAUCAAAUGCUCUAGUAUGGUUAACAUCACAUGCCUCAAGCUUGGUUCGAACAUAACUCAUAAUUAAAAUUUUUACAUAAUGAUCAUGUUAACAGGGAUUACAAAGAUAAAGAAAACUAGGGCCAAACACAAUUCUAAUCUAUUAAAAUUUACAUGUCCACACUAUUCUAUUACAUAAACUAUACCAGCUACUAUGCCGACUUCCCGAUGCUAUCUUCAAUCCUGCAACCCUGGGGUUAGGGGAAAGGGAAAAGCUACAAGAGCCUAGUGAGCAGGACAUAAAAAUAGUUUAAUAAACAUAUGCUCGUAUGAAAUGCGUCACAACACAAACAAUUCACAUCAAGAUGGACUUGUUACCAGUAACCCUCUACAUAUUCUAAUGUGCCCGGCCCUCGACGGAGCUACUCAGGACUUUCGCUUAAACAUAACAUAACUUAUCCAUAAUGCCAGGGGCGUAGAAUGGGCCUCACCUGGACUUUCCCUUACAUAUUACCAGGGGCGUAGAAUGGGCCUCAUCUGGACUUUCCCUUACAUAUUGCCAGGGACGUAGAAUGGGCCUCACCUGGACUUCUGUAUCAUAUCAUAUCAUAGCAUCUCGAGGGCUAGUGGGUCAUCCAAUAUCCAUUCACAUCAACAGUAAAUUAUGCAAUGCAUCAUAUUCGUGAAUUCUAAUGCAAACGUCCUAAUACAUAAACACGGCAUUCAUGAUGCAUGAACAUGUUUAAAAAUUUGAUUACUUAAAAAUAAUAGUUUAGUUCAGUUCUACUCACCUCUGGCUGACGCUCACCUAACACUGACGCAGAUAACUCACUGUAGGCCUCUACGGUCUCCGAGGUCCGAUCCUACACAGAUGGACUCAAAUGAGGGACCAAACAUAACUAUUACAUGACUCUGAACAACUCCCCAAAAACCCCUAAAACAUACCAAAGCAUGCAUAAGAAACAAGUAAAAGAAGGUUGGACAGGGGACUUUGGGUGGCAGGUUCGGCGGUUGAAGGUCCCUCACAGAUCCGAAAGUCAGGGACUUUCGGAGGCAGGUUCGGCGGCCUGAAACCCUUCACAGAUCCGAAAGUCAGGGACUUUCAGGGGUGGGUUCGGCGGCCGAAACCCUUUCACAAAUCCGAAAGUCCAUGCUUUCGGGGGCAGGUUAGGUGGCCAAAAGGCUGCCUUCACCAGUAGGUUUUGCGGCCGAACCUGGAUUCUCCAGCAAGGCAAAACCCGAUUCUGCCUUAUGUACUCAGCCACCAAAACUCUCAAAUCCUCACACCCAACUCCUCAAAACAUGCAUACUCACUCAUCAAGCAUAAGGGGCAUAAAAACUAACCUAAGAGCAAUCAUUUAUUAAAACCCCAACUCAAAUCCUAAAACUUUAGAUCUAACCAUUUCAUGCAUUUUUAACCCUUUACCCCUUCUUAAAACUUAAUUUAAACAUAAGAAAAACAAUGAUCUAGGCUUACCUCUUGGAGAUCUAAGGGUAGCAGCAACCCAAACUUGGAGAUGAGAGAAAAAUGAUCUCCGGAGUUCUCCAAGAUUUAAAAACUUGGAUUCAAGCUCAAAUCUUCAAAAACAAAACAAAACUCAUGAAUUUUCUUAAGAGAUUUGAAAAAAAAAAAACCACAAAAGCAUCAAAGGGUGGAAAAGACUCACCUCUGCCCAAAAAUGGAGAGAAAAACUCUCUCACUUUUGGGCUAAAGGUCUCUUAUAGUGGCUGGAUAAAUCAUCUUCGGGGGCGAAAGAGGAGGUCCCGCGGUGGCAUCACCUUCGGCGGCCGAACCUGGUUUUUCCCCUUCAAAACUAUUUUCUUCAAAACUCUUUUCUUUUUUUCUUAAAACCUUAAAAAUUUUCAAAAUUCAUUUUAUAAAAACCUUAUUUUACCCUUCCUAAGAAGGUUCCAGCUUCGAGAUUCCGAGUUCCAACGGAGAUUCUGUUGGAAAAUUGAAAUUCUGACGCCGGAGUCUAGCCGGGUGUUACAGUUGCAGUUGUGAGAAUAUGAUAGCUCAACAAUUGGUGGAGAAACUGCAGUUGCCUAUACAGCCUCACCCUUCGCCAUACAAUAUUGGGUGGAUUAAGGAAGGUUCGAUAAUUAAAGCUAACAGAAUCAACAACGUGCCUAUUUCUAUUCGAUAAUUGAAGCUAACAGAAUCUGCAGCGUACCUAUUUCUAUCGCUAAAUCUUACACUGAAUCUAUUAAUUGUGAUGUUGUGGAUAUAGAUUGCUGCAGAAUUUUGUUAGGUCGUCUUUGGCAGUUUGAUGUUGAUGCUUUGUAUAAGGGGAAGGAGAAUUCGUACAUGUUUAUAUGGAAUAGGAAGAAGAUUACUAUUUUGCAUUCUGAUUUUGCGAAACAUUCUAAAGUGGAAGGGAAGAUUGUUGUUACUCUUUCUACUGGAGUGCAAAGGUUAUUAGACGCAGUUGAGAAAUGUGGAGGCAUAUUGUCUUUAUUGGUGAGAGCAAAAUGUGAAGUGGAUGAUGCACUAUCUUUACCACCACCCGUCAAAGAGCUGUUAGAGGAGUUUUGUAGGGUAGUGGAGGAGCUUUCAAAGCUUCCACCUUUGUGGGAUAUUCAACAUCGAAUUAAUCUCAUUCCAAGAUCUAAAUUACCGAAUAUGCCUCAUUACAAGAUGAGCCCAAAGGAGAAUGAAAUUCUUCAGGAACAGGUUGAAAAGUUAUUGAAGAAGGGGCACAUUCGGGAGAGUAUUAGUCCUUGCAGAGUCUCCGCCUUAUUGGUUCCAGAGAAAGAUGAAACUUAGAGAAUGUGUUUAGAUAGCAGAGCCAUCAAUAAGAUUACGGUUUAGUAUCAAUUUCCUAUUCCUUGUCUGGAUGACAUGUUGGAUCAGUUAUUAUGGUCUAAAGUCCUUUUAAAAUCGACCUUAAAAGUGGCUACUACUAAGUUCGAAUUAAGGAGGGAGAUGAAUGGAAGAUAACCUUUAAAACUAAGGAAGGUUUGUACGAGUGACUGGUUAUGCCGUUUGAUUUGACGAAUGCACCUAGUACGUUCAUACGACAUAUGAACCAGGUUUUGCGCCCUUUCUUACGCAAAUUUAUGGUUGGUUAUUUCGAUUAUAUUUUAAUUUUUAGUCGCAAUGAAGAAGAAUAUUUAUAGCAUCUCUAUCAAGUCAUGACAGCCUUGCAAAAAAAAUGAGCUAGUCAUUAAUUUAAAAAAAAUGCACUUAUAUAACGGAGCACGUUCUAUUUCUUGGAUAUGUUAUUAGUGCACAAGGGAUACAUGUUGAUGAGAAGAAGGUAAAAGCAAUUCAGAACUUGCUCAUUCCCAAAAAUAUUUCAAAAGUUCAGAGCUUUCAUGCUCUAACUACUUUCUAUCGGCAAUUUAUCAAACAUUUCAGCAGUAUGGUUGCAUCUAUCACAGAUUGUUUAAAGAAAGAGAGAGUACAAGAAUUUACUUGGACUGAAACUGCCAACAAAAGUUUUGAGGAGAUUAAAGAUAAGUUUACUUCUACUCUUAUUCUCAUUCUAUCUGAUUUUGAUAAACAAUUUAAGGUUGAAUAUGAUGCUUGUGGAGUUGGGAUUGGUUGUGUGUUAUUGCAGACUAGUAUACCUAUUGUCUUAUUUAAUGAGAAAUUGAGUGAUAUUAGGAGAAAGUGAUCUACUUAUUGUAACGACCCGAAAAUCGGACCGCUACCGGCGCUAGGAUCCAGAUCGGCUUAAGGCCGCCGGGACCUGUAGCAAGCCUGACAUCUAACUUGUAAACCUGUAUAAUCUCAUACAUGAUCAACAACAUACAUAAAAUUUAAAACUUUUCUUUCCAUUUAUACACCAACUCAACCUGUGCAUGCACUAUACAUAACAUAAUCAUAACAUUGAUCCCUCUGUGGGAUCUCAUCAGUGCCCCCAAUGGGUGACAUAACAUAUGUUGAGUUGGUUUACAUAAACAUCAUAAAACAUCUAUGAUCAUGUAUUUAAAAGGGAUAACAACAUUCUAUGGUCAAGCACACGUCUAACAUCCUUAAACAUCAUUACAUUACAUAUCUAUACACAACUCUACAUCAUUAUACAAUUUGUCAUGUCCACAUUCUAGCUAUUACAUACACAAGACUUCAUUACUCUAUCCGGACUCCUGCUAUAUCCUGUACCUGCAAGCCUGCGGGUAAAGGGAGAGGGGUAAGCUAAAAGCCCAGUGAGUAGGACUAUAAAACAUAUUAACACUAUGCUCUAUGAAAUGCAUCAUAACACAGACAAUUCACAUAAGGGCUGGGUGAACUUGUCACCAAUUAGUCCAAGCUAACUCUGUGCCAGGCCGUAGCAUAGGGUCCUGGUCUUCCUGUCAUAACAUACAUUACUUACCAUUGUCCCAGGGCCUCCUCUGGGCUCUUGGUCUUCGAGUCCCAUAACCGUGCCAGGCCGUAGAAUGGGGUCCUGGUCUUUCCUUACUCUGUGCCAGGCCGUAGAAUGGGGUCCUGAUCUUCCUGUCAUGGACUAAUUGGGUCAUCCAAUAUUCACCCACAUCAACAACAAUCGAUGCAAUGCGGCAUAUUCGUGAAAACUAAUGCAAUCAUCCUAUUGCAUAAUCAUGAUGCAUGAAACAUGAUAAACAUUUAAUUUCUCAAUUUGAAAGAUUAAGUUUAGUUCCACUCACCUCUGGCUGACUCUGAUAACACCGAAGCAGCUGAACUCACUGCUGGGGUCCUCGGUUCCUCGGGUCCGAACCUACACAGGUGGACUCAAAUGAGGGACCAAACAUACUAGAACAUAUCUCUAAACUACUCACCAAAAACCCCCUAAAACAUCGAGAGACAACCAUAGAAAAACAUGCAAAGGAGGCCUGGACAGGGCACUUUCGACGGCAGGUUCGACGGCCGGAAGUCCCUCCAGAGCCGAAAGUCAGGCAGGUUCUGCGGCACCUUCGGCGGCCGAAACUCCCAGACAGAGACGAAACUCAUGCAUGUUCGGCGGCACUUUCGGCGGCCGAAACUGUCAGACAGAGAUGAAAGUCUCCUUUCGGGGGCAGGCUUCGGCAGCCGAAAGGCUUGCCUCCCCAGCCAUGUUCGGCGGCCGAAAGUCCUUCGGCUGCCGAACCUGGUUUCUACCAAAGGGCAGAAACUUGGCUCCUUUUGCACAUUUCGCCUCCCAACCUUCCAAACAUGCAUCAAACCUAUUCUACAACACACAUACACAGCAUACAUGUUCCUAGGGGCCUCAAACCAUCAUAAACCCCAUCUACAACACAUCAAGCAUCCACAUUGUUCAAGAACACACAUUAAACCCGUAAACAUAACCAUAACCUAAACAUGCAUUCUACCCCCAUAGAUCUACUUAAAACUUACUUAAAACAUGCAAUGAGCUUAAGAUCGGCUCUUACCUCUUGAAGAUCGAGAGAGAGACGACCUAAAACUCGGAGGUGGGAGAGAUUGGGUUCUUGAACCUCCAAACUCCAAAACUUUGCUCAAAAGCUCAAAUCUUCAAAACAANNNNNNNNNNNNNNNNNNNNNNNNNNNNNNNNNNNNNNNNNNNNNNNNNNNNNNNNNNNNNNNNNNNNNNNNNNNNNNNNNNNNNNNNNNNNNNNNNNNNNNNNNNNNNNNNNNNNNNNNNNNNNNNNNNNNNNNNNNNNNNNNNNNNNNNNNNNNNNNNNNNNNNNNNNNNNNNNNNNNNNNNNNNNNNNNNNNNNNNNNNNNNNNNNNNNNNNNNNNNNNNNNNNNNNNNNNNNNNNNNNNNNNNNNNNNNNNNNNNNNNNNNNNNNNNNNNNNNNNNNNNNNNNNNNNNNNNNNNNNNNNNNNNNNNNNNNNNNNNNNNNNNNNNNNNNNNNNNNNNNNNNNNNNNNNNNNNNNNNNNNNNNNNNNNNNNNNNNNNNNNNNNNNNNNNNNNNNNNNNNNNNNNNNNNNNNNNNNNNNNNNNNNNNNNNNNNNNNNNNNNNNNNNNNNNNNNNNNNNNNNNNNNNNNNNNNNNNNNNNNNNNNNNNNNNNNNNNNNNNNNNNNNNNNNNNNNNNNNNNNNNNNNNNNNNNNNNNNNNNNNNNNNNNNNNNNNNNNNNNNNNNNNNNNNNNNNNNNNNNNNNNNNNNNNNNNNNNNNNNNNNNNNNNNNNNNNNNNNNNNNNNNNNNNNNNNNNNNNNNNNNNNNNNNNNNNNNNNNNNNNNNNNNNNNNNNNNNNNNNNNNNNNNNNNNNNNNNNNNNNNNNNNNNNNNNNNNNNNNNNNNNNNNNNNNNNNNNNNNNNNNNNNNNNNNNNNNNNNNNNNNNNNNNNNNNNNNNNNNNNNNNNNNNNNNNNNNNNNNNNNNNNNNNNNNNNNNNNNNNNNNNNNNNNNNNNNNNNNNNNNNNNNNNNNNNNNNNNNNNNNNNNNNNNNNNNNNNNNNNNNNNNNNNNNNNNNNNNNNNNNNNNNNNNNNNNNNNNNNNNNNNNNNNNNNNNNNNNNNNNNNNNNNNNNNNNNNNNNNNNNNNNNNNNNNNNNNNNNNNNNNNNNNNNNNNNNNNNNNNCAAAAACAUGACAAAAACACAAAUUAAGCUAGAAAAAUGUGUAAAUAAACAGUAAUAAAUAUAAUAAAAAUGUGGCUAAAUUAUGCUUGAUCAGGGUAAAUAGAAAAGUAAGCCCGAACUCAUGCUGUUUUAUAAAAAAGAUCAAAUUACCCUCCUGCUGGGCAUCUAAAAAGCCUUCCGACGGUGGAAUAAACAGAACUAUGCGCUCAUUAGGUAAGAGAGUCCUAAUCUUGAAAAUUGUGGUAUCAACAAGGUUGUGAGAAAAAUAGUUAGAAAAAGAAGGAGUGAUGGAAGAGACUAGACCGACUACUUUGGAGAUCCUAAUAGAAGCCGUGAAAAGAGCGAAAUAUACCUCGGAUCGAAGAUUCAAAGUUACAAAAAAGAAAGAUGGCAAGAUAGCAGAAGCAACAUAAAAGACAAAGCAACGAGCAAAAGCACAAUUUUGAAAUGGAAAAGACAGAGAAAGAUGCUUUAACAGAACCCCCCUAGAGUCACAUGGUAAUAAUUGGAUCUCGAAAUUUACCUCAUCAUAAAUUAUGAAACAAUUAAUGAACAGGUAAAAGGAUACUUGAUAACUACCGGACUCCAAACGUCCAAGCCUGAAGUAGCCCAAAUUAGAAGAACUGGGCCCAAACUCCAUGAGAGUCCAAUACCCGACUCUAAACCCUCCAUGGGUUCAGGGCCGAUGCAGGCAAAUCGGGUUGAAUGCGAAUCUAAUCGUAGGAUCCUGGCUCCAAAUACCCGAUAGCCUCCAUGCAAGAACAGACUCCAUAGUGCCCGGAAUCAUAUACAGGUGGUACCGGAUGGAAUUAAAUAACCAUCGGACAAAAAAGAAAUAAUAUAUCCGUAUGUAUUUUCAACGUGAAUAUGGCAAAGGGUAUAAAAAAGAACGACAAUUAUAUAUCACUAAAAACAAAAUAGAAGGAAAAUAAAAGAAAACGUGUAAUACCCGGCUAGAUUCUGGCAUCGGAAUCCCUACCUCCCGGCGGAAUCUCCGUGGGAAUCUGGGAUUUUGAUGAUGCUAGAGUCUUCUUGUAGGGUAAAAGGUGUUUUCUAAAAUGUUUUUACUGAUUUCAUGGUUUUAAAUGAAAAAGAUUUGAGUUUUGAAAGGAAAAGACCAAGGAGGCAUUUGCCAGGUUCGGCCGCCGAAAGUGAAGUUCGGCCACCGAACAUGGGAAGGUUUCGGGAGUGCCUUUGGCCUCCGAAAGCCUUGUUUGAAUGAACCAGGUUCGGCCGCCGAACCUCAAGUUCGGCCGCCGAACAUGCAUGAGUUUAGGGGGCACGUUAGGCUGCCAAAGGUGGUUCAGCAGGCCACCUAUAAAGAGCCCUCAGAUCGGAAAUGGGCGAGUUUUCUCCCCAUUCUCGAGCUCAGGUGAGUCUUGGUCCUCCUUUGGUCAUUUUCAUGUUUUUCUCUACCCAUCCUUCAAGUUUUCAUAAGAUCUACCCUGUUUUUGAAGUUUUGAAGCUUUAAAAGGAGUUUUGGAGCUUGGAGGCUUUUGGAGCUUGGAUCCUCCACACCUCUGAGUUAGGGAUCGUACCACCUCUCGGUCUUCAAGAGAUAAGUGUAGAUCUUUGCCUUCCUAGUGUUUUAAAGAAGUUUUAAGCAAGUUUGAUGAUGUUUUGAUGGUUGAGUAUGGGUAGAUAUGCAUGUUAGGGUUUAUGUGGGUUUUGUGCCCAAAGUGUGUUUAUGUGAUGCUAUGUUGAAGGUUUGAGCUGGUUUAUGCAUGUGGGAGAGUGUAUGCAUGAUUGGGAAAGAGCUAGUGAGAUUAUGGGUUGUUUUGAUAGUUUUGGCCUAUGUGGGUCAUAAACUAUCUAUGUAUGCUUUUGAUGUGUUUUUGGGGUUUAAUCUAGUUGUUAAGCUCCUUUAUGCAUGACUAAGGGUUUAUGCAUGGUUUUGAGAAGUUUAUGCAUGUUUUAAAAGGUUGGAUGCUUGUUUUGGGGGUUUGGGAGGCUUGUAUGCACAAGGACUGAGUUCUGGAAGAACUCAGGUUCGGCCGCCGAAGGUGGUUUCGGCCGCCGAACAUGCCUAUGGAUGCAUGAAUUGGCCGCCAAACCUUGCCCCCGAAAGUUGUGUUUCAGAGAUGAAGCAGACUUUCGGCCGCCGAAGGUGAUGUUCGGCCGCCGAAAGUGCAUGACUUUCGUCUCUGGAGAAAGGGUUUGGCCGCCGAAGGCGCCCCCGAACCUGCAUGACUUCGUCUCUGGAAGGGACCUUCGGCCGCCGAAAGUGCCGCCGAAAGUGCCCUGUCCAGCCUUUUCUUGGGUGUUUUCUAUGCAUGUCUCUAUGAUGUUUUAGGGGUUUUUUUGGGGAGUUGUUUAUGAGUUGUUUAGAGUAUGUUCGACACCUCAUUCGAGUCCACCUAUGUAGGAUCGGACCUGAGGGACCGAGGAGGCCAUCAGUGAUAGCAGUUGCAGAGUUAGUCCAGCGUCUGCCUGAGGUGAGUGGAACUAAACUUAAUGUUUUAAUAUAAGAAAUUAAAUGAUUCUAGAGCAUGAUUCAUGCAUCAUAAAAUGCCAUGAUAUGUAUUAGGUUGUUUUGCAUUAGAAUUCACGAAUAUGAUGAAUUGCAUAAUAUGUUGAUGAUGUGGAUGGAUAUUGGAUGAUCCUUAGCCCUCAGUAUGAGAUGAGAUAAUGCGAUAUGAGAUGACAUGGUAUGAGAUAGAAAGCCCAGGUGUGGCCUAAUCGCCCCUGACAUUAUGUAUAUGUAAGGAAAGUCCAGGUGUGGCCUAAUCGCCCCUGGCAUAGUUGGACAUGUUAUGAUAUGAGCUAGUAAAGGAAGCCCAGGUGAGGCCUAACCGCCCCUGGCAUAGUUGGACAUAUUUCGAUAUGUAGAGGGCUAAAGGUGACAAGUUCAUCCUUGAUGUGUUAUGUUUGUGAUGUGAUGCAUUCUAUGAUGGCAUAUUUGUAAAUGAACUGGUUUGCUAGUAUGGUUUCCGCUCAUUGGGCUUUAUAGCUCACCCCUCUCCCCUAACCCCAGGUAUGCAGGGUCAGAGAUAGUCAGAAGAUCAGCAGGUUAUGUCUAUGGUCAGACUCUUGUAAUAGAUUAGUAGUGGACAUGAUGUAAGGUUCAGAUAUGUAAUGAAAUGUAAAAUGUUAUGAUGGAAAUCAAUGUAAUGUAAUAGAUAGAGUUGUGCUUUGCCCUAGAAGUGUGGUUAAUCCCUUGUAUAUGGUUCUUAUGUAUGUCUUUAAUGAGGGAGGAAAACCAAGCUUAUUUUAUGUUGCCCCAUUAGAGUUGAUGAUGAGAACUCUAGUGUUGGGGUUUAUGAUUAUGAGUUUGUGCAUGCACGGGUUAAGCUUGGUGUAUGAAAGAAAGAAAAAGUUCACAAAUUUUAUGUCUUACAACUUUUAUGUUUAUGUUUGAUCAUGUUUGGGAUUAUACCAGAUGUACAGGAUGUAUGUUAGGCUUGCUACGGGUCCCGGCGGCCUUAAGCCGAUCUGGAUCCUAGCGCCGGUAGCGGUCCGGAUUUCCGGAUCGUUACAAAACGAGUGAGAAAUGAAAACCAAACUUACAAAAAUAUACCCUAAACCUAAACUUAUUAUUAAAUCUCAUGCAUCAUAAAAAAUAAAACUUAUAAUUUUAUAAGAAAAUAAAUAAUAAAAAACGAAACUUAUAAUUUUAUAAGCGAAUAAAUAAAAAAAUCUUAUAAAUAAUUGAUAAAUUAUUCAUAUAUAUUUAUUCUUGAAACUACUAAAAAGAUAAUACUGAUGAAAUUUUAAAAAUUAGAAGGGCUAGUAAAUUAUUUUGUUAAAAUAAUUAUGAACUUAAUUCUUAUAAGCACUAAUUGCAAUAUGAAUCCGUUUCUAUUUACUAGGUGCUUUUUAUUAUUGUGAAUUUUUUUCCCUAUGUUUAAAAUUAAUAAUUUCAUAAUAAUUUAAUUUAAUUAUUAUUUAUAUUAAUUCUUUUAUUUAAAAUAAAAAAAAAACCUUUUAACUAAAAAUUUUCAUUUAAAAAAAUCAUACAUGAUUUUUUAACAAUCCAUUAUAGAUUGCUCCAAAUGAAGCGUUACUAUUGCUGUUAAUAACUUUUUUUAAAACCGAAUUGAAAGUAUAAAUUUGUUGAUUUAGCUUUUAAAUUUGAUUUUUAAUGGUUGAGACUGGAGUUGUGGUGUUGAAUCCAAUACCUUUUAAAGUUCAAAAUUAUUAAAAAUAAAUUUUUAUUUAAAAUAAAAUUUAUGAUAAUGUGAAGCGGAGUGAAUUCAAUAGAUAAUGUAUUAAUUAUAUUAAAUAAAUAAAGAAAUAAAAAUAAAAUACACUUACAGACUUAUGAUAAGCUGAGUAAAUUUGAAAAAUUUUAAGCAAUUUCCAACUCAAACCUCAAUCUCCAUUUUAAAAUAAAAAAAUAAUAAAAUAGAGAUUUUUAAUAUAGAGAAAUAAAAAUAAAUAAAAUUAAUUAAAAAAAUAAAUAAUUAAAUUUAAGAAAAUCUGAAUUUUACAACCAAUUGAACUGUAAUUUUAAUUAUUAAAAAAAGACUUAGCCACACGCAUGACAUAAUUUAUUAGGAAAUUAAAGUUUAAAUAUGAUUUUGUUUCUUAUUCUCUUAUAAAUUUGAUUGUGACUAGAUUUGAUGUGAAAAUAUAAAUUCUAAAUUAAAUUUUUGUUUUUUAUUUUUUAUUAUUUUUUAUUUUUCGAAAUAUUUAUUGCCAAAUUAAACAUAUCAUGAUAAUUGAUAAUUUUUUUUUUGAAAUGAAAACGGGAUUGAACGAGUAUAAUUUAAGAUUUUUUAAAUUUAUUUAGAUAUAUUUAUCACCAAAGUAUCUGUAAGUACAUGAUAAUUAAUAUCUUAAACAUUAUCUUUAAUUUUUAUAAGUUCAAGCGGUAUAAGCUAUUAAAAUUUUCAACCUUCUAUACGAGAGAGGGAGUUCUACCUAUACUAAUUAAAAUUUUAAAAAAUAAUAAACAAUAAAAAGUUGCAGGUGAUAAAUGUAUAUUUUUUAGAAAAUUCUUUUACGUAUCCAGUUAUAUACAUUUUUUAAAUAUAAUUCUCAUGACAUAUAAUAUAAAAUUGAAAAAAAUUAUAUAUAAUAUGAUGAGAUCUAUAUAUUAAUAUAAAUUUUUAAUUUCUAUUAACUGAAUACACAAAUCUACCUUGUAUGUAAGAAUUUUUCGUAUUUUUUAUAUGAUAAGCAAAAAAAAUCAUAUCGUUUCUAAUAAUUUUAUAAUUUUGCACUUUUAAUUGUUAAAUAAUUGGGCAAUUGAUGCAAAAUUAGAAUCAUUGAUUACUGAUUGCUUACUAUUGACUAUUAAGAUUAUGCUCAAUAAUUAUUUUUAAAAUAAUAUUUAAUAUUUUGAUUUGAUUAAAAUAUUAUUAUUUAAUAAUUAAAGAAAUAAUUUAUAAAAAAUUAAUUAAAUACUAUUUAAAUAGUUAUCUGCUACUGCAUCUAGAAUACCUAACUGUUAAUAUUGUGGAACGUCCAAUCAAAUGCUAAUGCUUGAUUAAUCACUUCCAUAUAUAGUGGGAACCCAUUUAUAUAUAGUGGAAUCCAUGUUGGCCCAUACAAAGAAAAAUUAUACCGUAAAUAGCAACCCCUUAAAAAAUUUAAUAUUAUUAUUUUUAAAUAAAUUUACCUUCUUGUUUUUUGGUUUGUAUGAUUUUUCUAUUUAUUAAAUUUUUAUUGCGUUAUCAUUUUAUAUAGAAUUUUGCAUAUUAAUCAAUAAUAUUAGAUGCAAGUAAAGGUAAAAUUAUGGAAUAAAUUUGGCAUAUAUUUUUUGAUUUAUAAAUAUUUUUCUAUGAUAUAUGAUAUAUAAAUAAUAGGAAGAAAGGAUAGAAUAAAUGAGAUUAAUAAAUAAAAAAUAAUAUUAAAUUUUAGUAUAAUUUAUAACAUUUUUAAUUUAAUUGGUUUGUUUAGUUUUAUAUUUAAAUAUAAAUUAUAUUUUAAUUAAAAAUAAAUUAUUUCAAAUAUAAUAUAACUUAUUUUCUUCACUAACCCCAAAAUUUAAUUAAUAUUGAAUAUGAAACUGAGGAAUCCUGAGGGAAAAAAAAAUCAAUCGACGAACUUUCUUAUAUUUGAAAUUCAAUAGUUAUAUUAGGUAAUGAUUAGAAUUAAUUGUUGCAAUAUAUUAAAAAUCUUAAAUAAAUUUCGCACUUGCUUACGAUAAUAUAUCACACUAAAUUUAAUAUCAUCUAUAUUUUUAAAUUUAGUUUAAAUCAAAAAAAUUGAAUAAAUUAAAUUAUUUAAAAUUUUAAUUUAAUUUUUUAUUUAUUUGAAUUUAGUUUGAUUUUUAAUUUUAAAAAUUUUAAUUAUUUCAAUUCAGUUUGAUUUUAAUAAAAAAAAUUAAAAAAAUCAAACCGAACUGAUUAAUGAUAAUAAUAUAUUAUUUUUAAUAAUAUAAAAAAAUUAUAUCAUAUUAAACUUAAAAUAUUCUAAUUAAAUUUUAAAAUAAUACAAAUAAAGUGUAAAAAAUAAAAUAUUUAUUAAAAAUUUAAAUUGAUCAAAUUAAAUCAAAUUAAAUUGAAUCAGAUCAAUUCGAUUCGAUUUAAUUUUUGAUUAAAAUCAAUUCGAUUUGAUUUUUAUAAAUAUUAAAAUUUUAAUUUUAAUUUAUUCGAUUCGAUUCGAUUUUAAACGAAAUUGAGCGAAUGUUUAUCAUAGUUCAGAUUAGACGAUUAAAUUUUUGACAUUGAAAUAAUAUAAUAAAUAUUAAAUAACUUUUGAAAACUUUAUUAAAAUAAAAAAUUCACAUUUUUAUAAAGUUAUAAAUAAAAUAAAAGGAGGGACCAUUGUGUUUGUGUUGGUAUAUAAUUAUAAGCAAAUGCAUGUGAAUGACGAGGCUAGGAAACUGUUUGCAGGCGGAGAUGAGAGAGAAGGGGAGGUUGCAAAAGGGGCCACCGUCCGCCGCCCAGGACACCAACAUUCUAAAAUCUAAAUUUUAGCAUUCGAUUUUCAAACAAGUAUAUUUAUCAUAUACUUAUUUUAAUUUAAUUUAAUUCAUUAACUUACUCAAUUUUAAUUUAAUUCAAAGUCAUAACCAUCCUCCAAAUAGAGAUUUUAAAAAAAUUAACAACAAAGUUAAUGCAUUUAUUUUUUAAAACAGAUGAUAUAUUAUUUUAUUCAUAAAAUUAACAUAAAAAAAUUAUUUAAGAACAUUUGAGAAAAAUUUAAUGCUGCUAAAUUGAUUCCGAGAAUAUUUGAAAUUGGAAAAAAAAAAAAAAGUUAUAGGGGACUCGAUAUUUGAAGUCAGCCUAAAAAGUUAAAUUAAUUGAAAGAGAUUUCUUGGAUAAUGGCCCACCACAAGCUGGAAUACGAAGCUUGGUUGUUGGUAGGGUCUCUCAUAGAUUCAUAGCCCGCCAGUGUUGAACUCAUCUCAGUCACGUAUUCACAUUGUUCAGAUAAAUUUAAAUUUUGAAUUCAGAAAUAAUUAAGCAGCUUAUGCUGGAAUGAGAUAUUGAUUAAUUUGCUGGUUAAGCAAAAUCACGAUUCUUAAUUACCAUUAUUAUUUGAAAUAUUACUUUGUAUUUGUGUCAUGCAAUUCUUAUUAUCUCCUUAAUUUAAUUUAUCUCAAUUUCUGUUUAUUCUUCGCCAUAAAUUAAUUAGUUAUGAUGAUCUAUCUCAUUCCAAUGAAUACCCAGCACAAAAACUUUGGUGGGGUGUCAUAUCGUCCAAUAAGCCAAGAAAGUGGGAAAAAAUGUCAAAUAAUAAUUAAUUGAAAGUGGAAAAAAAUCUCUUUUUAUCUCUCUAAGUAAAUUUCUUCAAGAUGUACGAUGGGGUUUCUGCUUCAUCUUUUUCUGAGGAAGAUUGGACCCAAGGGUUUACGUUGUUCAGUGAUAAUCUUCGUUCUGCCAGCGAUGAAGUUAUUAUUAUUAUUUUUUUUUCCCCCAAGGCAUAGCCAACAUGUUUGAACUUUGAGGUAUUUGGAUAAUGAAGCAACCUACAGACAAGGUGUUUCCUGUGCAAGUGCAAUCAUACUCUUGGGUUCAGACAAUUUCUUUCUAGAUUGCCUUUUAUAUAAUUAUAAAUUAAUUGUUUAAUAUUUCUAUUUAAUAUGAAUAGGAAAAAUUUAAGAAUAAUUGAAUCAUGAUUGAUGGUGACUCAAAGGUUCCAUCACUUAAAAUAUCACAUUUACUCUUACUGAUUUUGUAGGUAAAUUAAUUUCUAAAUUACAAUCUCUUUUCUCUAUUAAUUUUUCUGCGACUAGUUAUCUUUAUUGCUUUUAACAAAUAAUAUAAAUUAUGUUAUUAUUUUUAAGAUAAAUAAUAAUUAAAAAAUAUAUUUAUUUUAAUACUUAUCCUUUCUACCCACUUACAUUUUUCACAAAACUUCUUCUCUCCAAUAUUUUCUGACACUCAUCUCCUAUUUUUCUUACAUGUUCUCAUAUUUUUUUUCCUACUUCCCUUACAUCACAUUUUACGUAUUUAUUAUAAAAUCACUCAACCAUAGCAUCAACAAUAGACCUUUUGAUCAAUCUUGUCACAAUAAAUAUUUUUCAAGAUAUUUUUGGACAUAACCAAAAUCAGAGUGUAAAUAAAGUUGACAAUGAAGAUGAGUUAAGUUAUGAUCAAUAUGAAGAUGGAGAUAGAGCAUAUAUUAUAGAAGAUUCUAAUGAAAAUGAACAUGAAGAGUUACAAACAUUGUAGUUCUUCAAUAAAUAAUAAAUUUUGUUUUGAAUGAAAAUUAUUUACAAACACUGUAAUUCUUUUUGUUAAUAUUUAAAAUGGAAACAUUGAUAUUAGAUAUUUUUUUAUGAGAUAUUUAUUUUUAUUAUGAUUCUUUAAUUACUUACUUUUUACAUUAUUAAAUAUUUUAUGUAUUAUUACUGGUAGUAUAAUAAAAACAUGAAAAUCAAAUUGUCAUGUAUGUGUUUCAAUGUUAUAAUUCAUUCAAUUAAUUUUUUUUUUGUAAUUGCAUGAACUUAUUGAGUUAAAACUUAAAGUCUACUUUAUUGUAUAAGAUUUGCAUGACUGUUUUUUCAUUUAUAAAGUCUACUUUAUUUAAAUAAUAUAAAGUAUUAUAUAUAUUUUGUCAGCAAAUAAGUCUUAAAAGUAACUGUUAAAUUUAGCAUUAGAAAAUAAAAUUAAUAUAAUUUCAUAUUUUUAAUAAUUAUUAUGUUAUAAUUUUUUCAGCAAAUACAUUAUUUUCUUAAUAUUAUUUGUAACACUUUAAUUGAAAUAUUAAACAGCUGAUAGACAUAAAAGUGUAAGAAAUAUUAUAUUCCAUCAAAAUUUAUUAUUUGUUUAAGAACAAAAUCCUAUAUACAUCUCAACAAAUAAAAGCAACCAUCAAGUGGUUGAAAUUUGCAUUAUCAAGUUCAUUAGCUUCCUCUGUAACUCCUGUAUUUGAUGUUGUUACACAUGAUGAAGAUUCUCCAUCUAUAGAUAAACUCACGUUCCUUUUUAAUUUAAUAUAAUAAUUGUAUGCUUCAAUAGUCUCUGCUUUUAUAAUAUAAGAUUUAUAUAAACUCUUGUUAACUCCAAUAACAUUAGGUGCACACUCGUACCCAGAAAUGUAUAUUCCAGGGUUAACACCUUCAAAAACAAUAUAAUACUUUUAUAUGUUCUUUUAUUUCAUCAUAACAAAAUAUACCGCUGAAUAGUGAAAAGAAUUCAAAAGAACGAUGAAAAUAAAUAUAAAGAUGAGAUGAAGUGUCUUUUUAUAUAUAUGUCGAAUGUUUUUAUAGAAGUGAAGAUAAAAUUUAAAUCAUUCUUCAAGAAUAAAUGGAGAUGUUGAUAUUAUUGAAUGUAAGCAGGUAUUCUUAAUAAAGACAAAGAAAAAAAAAUAUAUACAAGAAAAUGAUAUUGUAGCAGGAGUUGACGUGUAAAAGAAAUAAAAAUUAAGAAGAUUUCAAUAAAGAGAAUUUAAAAUUUGAAUUUUAAAUUAAAAAGGAUAAUAAAGUAAAAAUACAUUAUAAAAUUACUUGAAUAACUUCAUUGAUUCAUAUUUAUUGUGGAUCAAGUUGAGCCAUCAAACUUUUUUCAAUUUAAUAAUUGAGCAAUAUUAAUGGAGAGCAUUGAGAGAUGUAGCGAUAUUCAUGAGUAUAUAAAAUCGUCUAUGAGAUGUUAGAGAAUUGUAUCGUAUUUAUAAAAUUUGAAAAUUAAAUAUUAAAAUAUUUAUAAAUUUAAUUAUUAUUUAGAUUAUAAUGAUGAAAAAUCAUUAUAAAUUUAAAAUAAAAUAAUUAAAUUAAAUUAAAUAUUUAAAAUAAUUAAUAUUAAUUAUUAGGAUACCUUAAUUUUAAACCUGAUUCAAUUGAAGCAAAUACUUCUAAAGUAAUUGAUUUUCUCUCGAAUAAAAUCAAAUUAAUUAAUUAAAAGUUAUCGUCUAUUUUCCAAUAAGUCGAUAAUUCUCUAAUUAAUUUUAUAAAUUCUGUUAUUAUUUUGUUUAAAAUUUCAUAAAUUAAAAUUUCAUUUUCCAACCAAUUAGUAUUAUUAUGAUAUUCGAUUUUUAAUUCAGUUCUCAUACGUUCUCUUCUAAUAUCAAUUUCAGGAUGAAAUUAUUCAAAUAUCUAAUAAUAUAUUGAUAAAAAAAAAUAAUUUAAAUAAAUUAAAAAGAAUCAAUUAUUUAAGUUACAUUAAGUUUUUUGAUAAAAAAAUUUAAUUGUUUAUGUUGAGUGAUUUAACAAUAAACUCUAUUGAAAAAUUAUUUAAAAUUAUUUUAAAAUAAUUAUAAAUAAUAAAUUUAAAAAUAAUAAUAAUAAAAAAAAAACUCUACAUAAAUUUCUACUGCUAGACAUUUGAUAAAAAGCAUGUUACACUUGGUAAAAACUCUAAAGUCUUUCCACGAGUCGGACGUAGAAAUCAUCAAAACUUUACACUCUCUUCGUAUUAUAAAAAUAGGCCACUAAUUAUUUUAUAUAAAUUAAACAAAAUAUAGUUAAGAUAGUUAAAGUUUUAUUAUGUUUUCUAUUCUUUCUGCUCAUAUUUACUCUACUACUAAACUAUUCCUUCAAUUAACAAAAAGUGAAAAGUAUAAAUAAAAAUAUAUUAUAUUGUUGUAUCGAUAUUUCACUUUAAAAUUUAUUAUUUAAUUUAUAUUAAAAUAAUAUUUAUAAUAUUAUACGGUUAAUAAAUAAAAUAAUUUUUAAAUAUUAUUAAAAAUAUUAAUAUAAAAAUUAUAUUAUAAAAUAUUAAUUUAAUAUAAAUUAAAUCAAUGACUCUAAAAUAAAAAUAAAUGAAAUUAUAUAAUAUUUUUUAUAUUUUUAAUUAAUAAAUAUAUUUUAUUCAUCAUGUCAAUAUUUUUUAAUAAUAUUAAAAAAUUAUCACUAUUUACUAACGGUAUAAUACUACUAAUAUUAUUUUGAUUCAAAAUCACAUACUAUAAAAUAAAAUUAGUAAAAAUAUAGAAUUUUUUUUUUUUUUUACUUUUUUACUUAAUAAAACUUAAUUUAUUGUAUAUACUGAUAGGGGUGCGUCAGUAAAAUAAUAAAUACAAUAUCAUUAAAAAAAUGUCUAUAAUUUAGAAUAAAUAAAAAGAAAUAUUUUUAUACAAUAAAAAAAAUCUUAAUUUAGAGAUAAAAUUUAUACUUCUCACCUAUUGCGCUUAUGUUUAAAUAAUACAUUAUUACACUAAAUAAUUUCAUUUAUUUAUAAUUCUCUUAUUUAGAAUGAAAGAUUUAAUAAAAAUUUAAUUUAAUUUAUUUUUUUUUUCUGUUAAUUUCAUUAUUUAAAAUGAAAAAAAUAUUUUUUUUUAUUUAUAAAAAUUUUAUUUUUAAAAACAAAUAAAAUUAUGUAUUAAUUUUUAUAAGAAUUCAUUUAAAUUUUUUUAUUUCAAAAUCAAUCCAAGAGAAUUUAGAUGUACUGUAAUUAGGUGUAGUUCAUGUUUUAACCUCUAAAUUAAAUUAUUAUUGCAUCUGAUUUUAUUUGAUAGAGUUAAACCUACAGUUAAAAAAAAAUAAUUAUAGAGGCCAUAUUGUCUUUAGAUGCUUUCUGGGAUAAUAAUAUAAUCAAUAGCCUCAAUCAUUACUAAUUGUUAUUGGUCCUUUUCGAAAAGGAUAUUUGCCUAAAUCAAUGUUAUUGUCAACUAUCUUUUAUUUUAUUUGUAUUUGUCAAUGUUGCCUGAGAUUCUAUAAAAAAAAACUUCCAAUCUUUUAUUUUAUUAUUUUCUCUCCAAAGUAAUUAGAGGAAAAUAAGGAAAAAACUUAUUUACCUUUCUUCUUUUAUUUUAUUUAAUUUUUUUUUUCCAACAAGAAAAAGUCACUUUCCCUUUCCUUAUUUUCCCCACAUCCAAACAUAGGUUGAAAGAACUAGAAAUUAUUGUUGUACAUCAAACGGCAUUGGCCACAACUCCUCCAGCAAUUACCAGUGGGGAAACUGCGAUAGGGCUCCUAACUGUGUGAACUCCAUUCUCUUCUAUCCAAACGAGGGAACCAAAUUGGACACUCAUUUUCUUGUCCCCGCUGUACUUUAUGGUAAUACAAUAGCUUUGCUUGUCAUAUUUUUUCCCAAACACCAGAGUUGUCGGUGAGACGGUAACUAUUGAUCCCUUUGGUGCAGUAACCUUAGCUUUAUAAGUAGCAGCAUCUUCUCCCACAUUUGUUACUGUCCUCUUGAACUUCUGGACCAUCACUGAUGUUGUUUUGUUAUCGUACAAAGCGAUAAAAGAUGGGUAGUUGAGAUCAGAAGAUGGGUUUGAACAAUGGUAACGCUUUGAUCUUGUAAUCGCCAAAAUUUGAUUUUUUGUGUAAUUCAUGGAGCAUAGGAGAUUUACGUAGUCUUGUGGGGUGGCGUCAUAAAUCAGACCUGGGUCCAGUGCUCGAUUAGGAUCAAUUUGGCCAGCUCCCAUGGCUAAUGGAGAUGCAUGUGCAAACUUUUCAGCACCAUUGUCUAUGAUUGGAUUUUGAGUGUUGUCUAAUGGGUUUGCAGUGGUCAUCAUGGCAGACCGAAUAGCUGCAGGACUCCAUUCAGGGUGGGCACCUUUUAAGAGGGCAGCCACACCAGAAGCAUGAGGACAAGCCAUCGAUGUGCCAGAGAUCAUAUCGAAAUCACUAGACAAGUAUAUGUUCAAUCCAAUUUGAGCUGACUGUCCAUUUGGAAUCCAAGAGGCCAAAACUUGAGAACCAGGGGCCAUUAUAUCCGGUUUCAAAAUGGAAGGAUAGCUCGGCGAGGGACCUCUUGAAGUGUAUAUAGCUGCAGCUGGCGCCGGUUUUGUGCCUGUAAUGGUUUGCUGGAACUUCAUGCUAGCGGAAGGCUUCUCAUAAGUUGUGGCAUAUUCAAUGACGGCCGAUGCUUCACUGGGGCUAAUCACAACGGAAGGACUAUAACUGCCGCCUAAUUCUAACAAAGAUGGAUCAUUUGAAAUGAAAAUAGCAGCAGCCACAUUUGGAGAGGCUGCAAUAGCAUUCAUUUGAUUAAAAACUUCCCCAAUAUCGUCACAUAAGAUGAUGCCAAACUGAGCUUGAGAUAACAGCUUAGUGGAGUUGCACGCUGAAAAGGUCUUGUUGUGAAUCAACGGCAGAUUAUCAACCAAUGCAUUAGCUGGGAACAAAGUCCAUCCAAUAAUGGUUUGGCCAUUGCCUAGACUUAAAGUCCCAGCAAAUGAGCGAUCAAUGGUACCAGCUGCAACAGUCAAGAGCCAUGGAAUCCCAUUAUGCAAGGUCCCAAGAUCUGGCCCUUCAUUUCCUGCUGAAGAUGAGACCACCACUCCGUUUUCCAUUGCUGCAAAUGAGGCUAUGGCAAUGGGGUCCUCGUACAGUGGCACUCCAUCGAAGCCCAUGGAGAUAGAAAUCACAUCAACACCAUCAGCAAUAGCUUGGUCCAUACCAGCAAGAACAUCAGAGGCAUAGCGACCCUCUUCCCAGAGUACCUUGUACAUAGCCACUCUAGCUCGUGGUGCCAUACCCCUUGCUGUACCAGUAGCAUAGCCAAAAUAUGUUGCAUCUUCAACAUAGUUCCCUGCAGCUGUGGAGGAAGUGUGGGUCCCAUGUCCAAAAAUGUCCCUUGGAGAGUUCAUGAAAAUUUUAGUCCCAGGAUGGGCAGCUAUAACUCCUUUGUUGAAAUAUCUAGCUCCAAUGAGCUUUGAGUUGCACAUGGAGGAAUUGAACUCUUCUCCUUCUUCACAAAUUCCCUUCCAUCUGGAAGGUACUGCAGUCAUACCAUCAUCUCUAAAGCUCUUGCUCUCUGGCCACACACCACUGUCGAUGACUCCAAUGAUAACAUCUUCACCGAAAUUGGAAGCAGGCCAUAGGCCGGUGGAUGGAUUGAGGGAAAGAAAUUUGUAAGUGUGAGUGGUGUCCACUGUGGCCGUCUUGUCUUUGUAAGCAGAAACGAAACCUGGGGAAUUUCUUAGAGUUUGAAGUUGAGAAGAAGAUAAAACAGCAGUAAAACCAUGAGCAGCGUUAUCGUAAGAGUAGACAAAUGAUGAUGGGAGACUAUGGUCAUUGUGUGACGACGAGAGAUUGUUAUAGGUAGAUUUGAGGGAAUUGCAUAUUGAUGAGUACCAGUCUUGAUGGUUAUUGAAGGUUUUGGGCAUCAGAGAUUUGUCCAUAUGGACGAUGUACGUGGCCCUGUCUUCUAAAGCAGAGAUUGCAGAACGAGCAUCGAAGAAACAAGGGCAGGCAAGAAAGAAAAGGAAAAGGGGAAGCAUCUUCAUUUUUUCCCCCAUUAUCUCUGAAGACUUUGCUUUGUUGCAUGGAUCGCCUCCUCAUCCGCUCAUAUAUAUAGUUGAAUUUAUGAUGGUACGUAUGUAGUAUUAUUUUUCGUAUAGGAAAUAAUGCAAUAAAAAAUGAGUCAUGAAAAAUUUAAGGAUAUUCGACUAAAAAUAUUAAUGUUGACGUCGUAUUUCUAUUCUAAUUUAUUUUUUUUUAAUUUUAAUUUAAUUGAUUUAAUUUUUUAUUUUAGUAUAAUUUUAUUUAAUUUAUAAAUUUAUAAAUUUAAUAGUUUGCAAUUCGAUAAUUUAAAUAGUAAGCAACAUAUAUUAUUAUUAUUAUUUUAAUCAGUUAACCGACCGAAAAAAAUCUUAUGUUUGUAUUAUUUUAUAUUUUAAUUUAAUUAUUUAAAUUUUAAAUUAAUUAGUAUAACAUUUUAUAUUUAAAUAUAAUUUUAAUCAAUUUUUAAAAUUAAAAUUAAAAAUUAAAAAUAUAAUUAUUAAAUAUAUAAUUCACAUUUUUUCAUCGCAAUAAAUUUUAUUUUAUAAUAAUAAUUAUAAAUAUUUUUAUAACAAAUAUAUUAUUUAAUCUACAAUAAAGAGCAUAACAAUAAUUAAAAAUAAUAUAUUUAUAUUAUAUAUUUAACAGUUAAAUUAUUAUUUUUUUAAAUGAAAAUUAUUAUUAUUUUUAAAAUUAAAUAUAUCAAUUAAAUUAAAUAAAAUAUGAGUUUGACAUUAUUUUCAUAUAUAAAAUUAAUUUAUAUUUUAAAAAUAAUAAAAUACUAUAUUCAAAUAUUUUAUUUGAAUCCUUACAUUUUUAUUUUUAAAAAUUAAUUAAAAUUAUAUAUAAAUAUAAAUGUUAAAUCAAUUUAUUUAAAAUUUAAACGUUUGAAUUAGAAUAUAAAAUAAUAUAAACGUUCAAUUUUUUCAAUUAUUUGACUAUUAGUUUAUAUAAAAAAAUAAUAAUAUUACAUGUGAUAUAUUAUUUAAAUUAUCAAAUUGCGUAUAAAUUAUUAAAAUUUAAAAAUUUACAUAUAGACUAAAAUUAUAUUAAAUUAUAAAAAUUGAAUCAAUUAAAUUAAAAUUAAAAAAAUAGAAUUAAAAUGUAAAUAUAUAUAUAAUAAAUGUAGAAUUUUUUAGAUUAAUUGACCAAAAUUUUAAUACUUUAUAAAUACUUAUAAAUAUUCAAUUAAUAGUAAGUCUAAUAUGUAGGUGUGAUUUAUCAUUCUUUAAAUAUAUAAUAUAUUUUAAUUAAUUGAAGAUAUAGGAUGAGGCGUGAGGCAUAUUUGAUUUAUUGUUGAUUACUAGAGGAUAAUGACAAAAAUCUGAGAACUCAAUGGUCAGCUUUCAUAUAUAUUCGAGAUUUGCUAUGUCCAAAGAUUGAUUUAUUACAAGAAGGAGAGUCACCUCUUAUUGCAAGUUCAAUCACUAUCCACAAAGAUGAAAAAAAAAAAAAAAAUCACUAUCCAUAAUAAUAAUAAUAAUAAUAAUAAUAAUAAUUUUGAUAAUAUCGAUCCACUCCGACCUUGGCCACAAACGUCCUAUCUAAUUACUAAUUGAUUACUGGUCCAACCUACAGGGAAUGAACCAGAAAUUUAUGUCCAAUUUAUGUCUAAAAGAAAUGUCUAUUUUUUCCUUCAAGCAUAUAAUAUUAGAUGAAAGGAGCUUUCCACCAAUAUGUGUUUAUAUUUUUCUUAUUUGGCAUAAUUCAUUAAUAAAUGCUUUAAAAGUCAUACAAUAUUUCAAUUUUUUUUAAUUAAAAAAUUUAAAUUAUUUUAUUCUAAACAUACUAAUAGUUACGUAAUAAAAUUUCAUAAUUAAUCAAGAAUUAUGUUUUCUUAUUCUAAAAUGAAUUUAAGUUAUAGAAUUGUUUAACAUUUAGUAGAAUGAUAAACUAAUUUAAUAAUUAAUUAAUUAAUUACUAAUAAUAAUUCAAAUCGUAUGCAGCAUACACACAGGACAAGAAAGAAAAUGUGGAAGCAGAGCCUGCAGUGCAAACAAAAACAGCAUUAAAAAAAAAAACAUAAGAUGCUUGAGGAAUGUAAAGCUUUGCAGAAGUGAUCAAACAAAAGCCCCCAAGUUUGCAACGAAAUUCGUAUCACGAAACAGUGACAAAUGGCUUAUUUGCCGUCUUCUCCACCUCUUCUUUGUAGUUAUCGCAUCCUCUAUCUUCUGCAAUAGUUCAGCCUAUGAUCUGAAACCUACUUAUAUAUUCACUUUCUUAUGAAAUCAUAAUUAAGGAUGAAAAGAGUAUUUAUGUUUUGUAGACUAAUGCAUGGGAGUGGACUUGCCAGUGAAAAUUUUAAGGGGAUAAAAAAGGGAAAACUUUAGAUAGAUAUUACAUAAAUUCAACUCUGCAGGCCAUAAUGAUUUGUAAACAAUGAGUUGAAUUGAGUAAUAUAUAAUAACCUAAGACAUAGCACAAAAACUGACUAAAUGAAAGAAAAAUCUUAUAAUACAAUCGUUAUAUGUAUAAUAUCAUUAAUGUCUAAUUGUUGUAUGACUUUCUAAUUUAGAGAUUUUAACUCCAAACUCUUGACAUCAUGCAGAAAAUUUUGGUAUUACAAGAAAAGGAUUCCCCCAAUAAAUAUAGGCUCCUGCACUUUUUAUUCAUUCAGCUAAGUAAAUGUUCAGAUUUCAGAAAUCUUGUGACUCCCACAGUGAUUGGAAACAAAAAAAGAAAAUUUAUCAAGAUCACAAGUAGACAAUAAUUAGCUUCUAAAUUAAAAAGCCAUUGCAAGGGGAGUUGAUAUCAAGGAAAGACAAAUUAGAUUAUGCAGAGUAAUUAGUCUUAAAUUUUAUGGCAGACUUGGACCAAAUAUAAUUUAUGCUGCCGACGUCCGUUAAAAACCCACAAUAUUUUUUUUUAAAGAAAAUUUUGAGACACACGACUUUUAAAAGUGUGACGAGAGCCAUAAACCUGGUCACAAAGUUCAAUGUGAAAAUUUUAUCGUUUAAAUGGUUAAUUUUACACUUUUAUUUUUUUACAUAUUAGGGCUUUAUUAUUAUAAAUAGCCAUUUUCUUGACUAUUUGAGUAUUUUUUUCAACUUUCGAGAAUUCAGUAAGAGUUUCUUCUUUUAACCUUUCGUUUUUCUAAAUUUCGUCUUAGCUAAACGUUAUUAGUUAAAACUCCUGAAAGAUUCUAAUAAGUCCUAUUUCAGUUGGUAUCAAAGUGAAAUUCAUCCAUGGCCGACAAUCAAUUGGCAUGACUCGGUGCAAUUGAGGCAUUCUUGGCAAAAUUGAGAGAGAUGAUCGGACAGCUAGCCCUACAAUAGGGUAAUAACCAACCCACUAAAGCCGAAAGCCCACAACCAUUUUCAAAUCAUGUGGUCGUAAAUCUUGUGAUCGCAAAUCCUAUGACUGCCAAUCCCCAAUAGGAUUAUCACAAAAGUUACAAGAUAAAGACAGAUUUUCAAAACUUUUCUGGUUCGUUGGAUGUAGAAUCUGUCCUUAAUUGGUUGGCGGACGAAACUAGCUGUUGAUGAAGUAGACGAUUGAACAACGAUUCUUGCCUAGUGAUCACGCUCAGAUUUUAUAUAACUGGUAUCAUAAUUGUAUUCAAGGGAGUUGAAGGGUGGAUGAACAUAUAGAGGAGUUUUUGAGGUUGUAGGCGAGGUGUGAAAACUAUAAGAACGAAGCCCAGCAGGUUGCUCAUUAUCAAAGGAGAUUGAAUCAUGACAUUCGCUGUAUGAUGGGAGUCGCUGCGAUUUUCACUUUGGUAGAUGCUAUUGAAAUGGAAAAAAGAGCAGAAGAACGUGUUGAUUGGCAGUCUCGACCUCAAUCUAAUCGAAAUUUUAAUUACAGAAAUUCUAGUUCAACAGGAACUCAGUAGUAUAGAGGUAAUUACAGUGGACAACCUUCUAGGAUUGUAAAUUCUGGCAAUCCUCAGAGUAUUGUGGAAGAAAGGAGAGACAGUAAGGGAAAAGCAAUCACCGCUACAAUAGACAAAGGAGACAGAAUCAAUCCUUAUCAGAAAUCAACAGGAGACAUAUGUUAUUGCUGUAGGCAACUUGGUCAUCGAUCGAAUGGUUGUCCAGAAUACAGAGGAGUUAAUAACGAUUGUCGACAAGUUAAUGUGGUUGAGUAGGUGGUUGAAUAUGAGAAGGAAGUGGAUGACGAUGAUGGAUCUAUAUGAUAGAGGGCGUUCUAUUUUUUGGAUUUGUUGUUAGUGCAUAAGGGAUACAUGUUGAUGAGAAGAAGGUAGAAGCAAUAUGGAAUUGACCCAUUCCUAAAACUAUUUUAGAAGUUCGCAGCUUUUAUAAACUUGCUACUUUUUAUCGGCGGUUUAUCAGAAAUUUCAACAGUAUUGUUGUCCCUAUCACAGACUGUUUGAAGAAAGAGAGAGUGCAGAAGUUUACUUAGAUUGACACUGCCAGCAAAAACUUUGAAGAGAUUAAAGAUAAGCUUACUUCUGCCCCUAUUCUUGCUCUACCCGAUUUUGAUAAACUGUUUGAUAUUGAAUGUGAUGCUUGUAGAGUUGGGAUUGGCGGUGUGUUAUCGCAGUCUAAUAGGCCUAUUGUCUUCUUCAGUGCAAAAGUGAAUGAUACUAGAAAGAAGUGGUCUACUUAUAAGCAGGAAUUAUAUGCAGUAUUUCGGACCUUUAAAACUUGAAAACAGUAUCUAAUGGGGCAGAAGUUUAUUAUUCACAUCGAUCAUCAAUCUUUGAUUUACUUUAAGACUAAAGAAUAUGUGAAUAAGAUGCAUACUCUAUAGGCAGCUUAUUUUGGAACUUUUGAUUAUGUCAUAAAAUAUAAGGCUGACCAUAGUAUUAAGAUAGUAGACGCUUUGAGUAGGAGGACUGCUCUGUUGAUUACAGUUAGUUAGGAGGUCGUGGGUUUUGAAUUUCUGAAGGAUUUGUAUGCUGUAGAUGAUGAUUUUGUUGAUAUAUGGGCGAAGGUCCAGGCUCGCUAGCCUCCUAAUGGGUUCUUGAUACAUGAUAGUUUUCUUUUUAAAGAGAAUAGGUUGUGCAUUCCUCGCUUUUCUUUGCGAGAAAAAUUGAUUCGGGAGAUCCAUGGAGGAGAUUUGAGUGAUCAUUUGGGCAUGAUAAGGCUAUUGCUGGUUUAGAGGAAUAUUUUUAUUGGCCACAAUUAAAAAAAAUAUAGGUCGGAUGGUUUAAAAGUGCCCAGUUUGUCAAACUCAUAAGAGUUAUUCGUAGAAUACGGGCUUAUACACCCCAUUGCCUAUUCUAGAAUAUCCUUGGAAUGACUUGUCAUGGAUUUUGUUAUUGGUCUUCCACGUGCUCAACGUGGAUCUAAUUCUUUUUUUGUUAUUGUUGACAGGUUCUCCAAAAUGGCGUAUUUUAUUCCUUGCAAGAAAAUUAAUGAUGUUUCUCAUAUUCCAAAAUUGUUUUUCUAAGAGUUUAUUUCUUUACAUGACAUUCUUAAGACCACUACUUUUGAGAGAGAUGUGAAGUUUCUAACUCAUUUUUGGAUGAUUUUAUGGAAGCAUUUUAAAAUUGAACUUCAAUACAGUAGUGCGGCCUAUCCCCAAACUGAUGGCCAAACUGAAGUAGUAAACUAUACUCUUGACAAUUUUUUACGUUGCAUUUGCAGUGAUAAAAAAAUUGUUUAGGAUCUUGCUCUUGUCUAAGCAGAAUUUACUUGCAACAGUUCUGUCCACAGCUCUACAAAGAUGUCACCCUUUACAGUUGUAUACAAGAAAAUUUUUGCACAUUCAGUUGACCUGAUUGCCUUUCCUACAUGUUUUCAUAACAGUAUUGCAACAAACAACUUGACAAAUCAACAUGUGCACGUUCUCAAACAGAUACAAUAAUGUCUUACGGAAGCUAAUGAUAAGUAUAAAACUACAACUGAUAAACAUAGGCGUUUCAAGUCCUUCAAUGUCGGUGAUCAAGUUAUUGUGUACUUGCGCAAAGAAUACGGUGGAGACAAAAAAAACUUGACCCAAAGAAGAUUGGUCCAUUUCAGAUUAUACAAAAGGUUAAUGACAAUGCCUAUAUUCUUGACCAACUAGAUUAUAUGAAAAUUUUCAAAACGUUUAACGUGGUGAAUCUAUUUUAAUAUUAUCCUGCUGAUGACAACUCGAGGUCAAGUUCUUUAUAAGAAAAGCGAAUAAAGCGGAGCAAUUAGCCUUAGACUUUAUGGCAAACUUGGACCGGACAUAACUUCUACUGCCAACGUUCGUUGGAAGCCCACUAUAGCUUUUUAGAAAAGACAUUUCGAGAUAUACGACUUUCAAAGGUUUAAAAGUAUGACAAGAGUCGUAGGCCUAAUCAAUAAAUUCAAGGCAAAAAUUCCAUCGUUUAAGGGGUCAAUUUUGCAUUUUUGUUAUUUUUUAAAUUUUUUUAAUUUUUCAUAUUAGGAUUUUAUUAUUAUAAAUAACUCUUUUCUUUGUUGUUUUCAAUAACAGAUUUCAGCCUCUAACCUUUAGUUUUUUUAAAUUGGUUAAAAUUUCUAACAAAAUCUAAUCAGUAAUAUUUCAUUAAACUUCAUAAUAAUCCAACAUAAUGGAGGAGCUCAUUCCAUAAAAUGAAGCAAAGAUCAGCCACGUUCCAAUUGGCUGCAACUCUUGCUUCUAAUUGUUCUCUCGCAGGCUCGUCAUCAAGGAUGAAAUCAUUGACCGGUUGCUACAAAAAAAAGAAAUCAAAGGGAAAGAAAAGAACAAAGCCAACAAAAAGAAAAGAUUUUAUUAUUGGCACUCAUCUAGAAUCUUUUGUUCCAUUAAGCAACAAACACUUACACUGCUGCCAAAAAAAAACCAAAAGAAAUAUGAAUAAUAUAAGGAAUUGACAAUUACUAUUGUGUAACUUAAGUUAGGAAAAAUCAAUGAAUUGAACCUUAAAGUUUAUGUUCAACAGCUAACAAUUUGUGUGUAUCGCAUAUAUAUUUAGACUCCUCAUUAUCGGUCUCAGACAUGGCCAGAAAGAUGAGUUUUUUCGAUCUUGUUCUGCACCAUGCAUUGCCUUGGCUAUUAUUAUUGGUGCUGGAAAGUGCCAGUGCAGUCUCAGAAAGUGAACAACUCCAGACUUAUAUUAUUCACAUGGAUCAUUCCCAUAAGCCUACUUCAUUCUUAACUCAUGAAUCCUGGCAUCGUCACACCCUAAAGUCAUUAUCUUAUCCUUUUGAUGAAAAGGAAAUGCUUUUGUACUCGUACAACCAUGUCAUUCACGGAUUCAGUGCAAGGCUCACACUAUCUCAACUAUAUGAAAUAGAGAAAUCUCCAGCUCAUCUCGCCACAUACCAGGAGUCCUUUGGCAAACUAUUCACAACAUACAGCCCCAAGUUUCUUGGACUAACACAAAAGGAUGGCCUAUGGCGAAGUGCAUCAUAUGGCGAAAAUGUGAUAAUAGGAAUCCUAGAUACUGGAAUUUGGCCAGAAAGUGAGAGUUUCAAUGACAAGGGGAUCCCGUCAGUGCCGCAGAGAUGGAAAGGCCUGUGUGAGAAUGGGACAGCAUUUAGCACUUCUAGCUGCAACAGGAAGCUCAUUGGAGCACGAUCUUUUAGCAAAGGACUCAAAGCAGCAGGUAGAAGUAUUUCCACUGAGAUUGACUAUGACUCACCGAGAGACUUUUACGGCCACGGAACCCAUACAUCAUCCACAGCUGCUGGAAACCAUAUGCCUGGUGCAAGUCACUUCGGUUAUGCAAGAGGCACUGCAGCAGGUGUAGCACCACGAGCACAUGUUGCCAUGUACAAGGUCCUCUUCGCAACAGAUUCAGAAGAGAGUGCAGCAAGUGAUGUUCUUGCAGGAAUGGACCAAGCGAUAACGGAUGGGGUCGACAUCAUGUCGCUGUCUCUCGGAUUUACACAGAAACCUUACUUCAAUGAUGUCAUUGCACUAGCUUCUCUUUCAGCAAUAGAGAAAGGAAUUUUGGUUGUAUGCGCAGCUGGUAAUGAUGGAGGCCAUAAUACAACAUACAAUGGAGCUCCUUGGAUCAUAACAGUAGGAGCUGGAACACUUGAUCGGAGUUUCACUGGUACCAUGACCCUGGAAAAUGGAUUGACAGUUGAAGGAACAACAUACUUCCCAGAAAGCAUUUACAUUACUGAUGCUUAUCUAUACUAUGGCAACGGUAAUAGAAGCAAAGCAAUCUGCUACUAUGGUGCAUUAAAUAAGAGUGAGGUUCAUGGAAAGAUAGUCCUCUGUGAUAAUACCACUGAAACAGAUGUUGAGGGACAAAAGGAGGAGCUUCAAAGGGUAGGCGCAUAUGCUGGAAUAUUCAUGACAGAUAUGCCACUUCUGGAUCCAAGCGACUACACUAUUCCUUGCUUGGUUCUACCAACUGCUGCAGGUGCUUUGGUUAAAGAAUAUGCGACUGGGGUGACAAUGCCAAAGGUUAAAAGAAUGAAGUUCAUCUCCACUAAUUUGGGCACCAAACCAGCCCCCCAAGUGGCCUAUUUCUCUUCCAGAGGACCAGACCCAAUUAGUCCAGGUGUUCUAAAACCAGAUAUUUUGGCUCCAGGAGUGGAUGUGCUAGCAGCAAUUACACCAAACAACCCAUACAUGGAAAUUGGCAGGUACAAUCUUGUGACAGAUUAUGCACUGCUUUCAGGCACAUCAAUGGCAGCACCCCAUGUUGCUGGAGUGGCAGCUUUACUAAAAAAUGUCCAUCAGGAAUGGAGCCCAGCAGCCAUCCGAUCAGCUAUGAUGACCACAACAUAUAUAACAGAACACAAAUUCAAUCUUGAAGGACCAGUGGACAGGUCUUCCAGCCACACCUCUAGAUUUUGGGGCUGGGCAUAUCAAUCCAAACAAAGCCAGGGAUCCUGGACUAAUCUACGACAUGAGCGUGCAAGAUUACAUUGACUUCUUAUGCAGCCUUGGCUACACUAAAAGCCAGAUGACUGCUAUCAUUAGACGAAGUCAAUGGAAUUGCAGCAAAGAGUCGAGCGACCUAAAUUACCCAUCUUUUAUUGCCAUAUUUACAAAUCAAAGUGGCCCUUCAACAGUGAAGAAAUUUAGCAGGGUUGUGACAAAUGUGGGAGAUGACACAGCUGUUUACAAGGCAACUCUAGAGAUUCCUCCUGAAAUGAGAAUCACAGUAGAGCCUAGUACCUUGUCUUUCACUAAAAAAUAUCAGAAGCAAAGUUUUUCUGAGUCUAGAGAUGGAUAAAGAAGCCCCUGCUGUGGCAUAUGGUUAUCUCAAAUGGAUUGAUCGGCAUGACCAUGUGGUGUCUAGCCCAUUAGUGGCUGUCAAAUUCUAACAGCUCUCUUAGUUAAUUUAUUUGUCAUAAUAUCCGCAAAGUUUUCCUCCAAGUGUAUGACAUUCAUGUGGAUUUUUUUUGUACAAUUUGUUUUGACAGGAGUUGGAACUUGAUAACUUUUAGUCACUCUAUUACUAAUGAACUACAUUCAUGUGGAAAAUAGUAUGAAUUUAAUACUCAAUUUAAGGAGUUGGACAUUCCUCCAGUUAAAUUAGGAGUUAGGAACAGGUUUCAAUUCAGUACCCAGUUAUAUCAAACACUUCCAUCAAUUUCACAAAGAAGAUGACUGAUACUGCAAGAACAGACACACAUACACGCUCACAAGGAAUGCUUAUACGCAUCUAACCAGAGAUUAAAACAACGCAAUUUCUGCAUACAACAAUUGAAGAUCCAUUGCAGGUUAAUUUUCAAAUGUUAAAGCAAAGUCGGGCAGCGAAGGAAAAGAACUAGAUUGGGAAAUCGAAGCUUACAGACAGUAGCAAGUUUAGCACCCAAAUAAAACAAAAGAAUGGGAAUCGGAGCAAUGAUGGAACGGUGGACGUAAGCGAGAGCUUCCACCAUCCUCAGUCAAACAAAAUUUUCUGUUUUAAGCAAAAAAAAUCUUCAUCUUUGUACAGCUAAGACAAGCCGUACAUGAAAAUGAACGGAUGCAAUGUUGUGGCAGAUUAUGCACAACUUUCAGGUGCGUACUGAAUUCAACCAUUUGGGUCGGCCAUUAUGACCACAGCAUUUGUCACGUGGCUCUCCUGUUUUUUUUGGAAGCGUAAUAUGUAAGUUUAAUCAAAUCGUGAUAAUUUCUCAUUUUAAAAAAUUAUUUUUGCCACCAUUUUUCUUCAAUGAAAUUUUCUCGAAAAUGAACAUGUUUCAAGUGGGAAAAAACCUGCCAUAACAAUCAUUCAACUUUCACGUGUGAGAUUUUUACACUGUGGCCCAUAUUGGCAGGCCCACCAAAAAUUUCAAUGAAUUUAAGACCACUAAACAUAAGAGAAGCGACAAUCACAAAACUUAAAUAGCAUACCUCCAAACGUAGACAUGAGAUUACGGGCCAUAAGACAGACCAAAGCCGAAUAUAGAAAAAGAAGAAAAAAGCUUUAUCAUACCUUUUCUUUGAAGAGCAGAAUCGGCCUAGACAAACACAUUGUUGGGACCCAAAGAUAACGUAUCCCUUGUUCAUAUCUAGCUGUCAAGGUUUCUCUUGUCACGACUCGGCCCCCACAACCUUAAAAGCUUGCAGGAGUAUUUGCAAUAGUGCCACAUGCGAAUUGCAGGUCACAAGUUUUCUUAUCCAUUGGCAAUAUAAUUUAACAAAUAUUUUGUCUUAAAAUACUUUUGAUGAGGGGAUUUAUGUUCAAACAUUCAAAGUUUAUACUCAAUUAUUCUGAUUUAAUGGUUCAUGAAAUAACUGGAGUGAUUCCACCUGCCCAGCUUUAUGGCAAAUGUCUGCAACUAGUUCUUUGUCGGUGAGACAAACAACUGUAGUUAGAUUUUGCUGACCAUAAAAGCUAAUGUAUCUUGUACCCUAACCUCCACCAAAAGCCUCCCCCACCCUCAGUCUCACACCACACGCCAAAAAGAAAUCUCCUUUUAACAUAAAAGGACGCAUUUCAUGAACAUCAACAUAUAUAUAAUACAGCAUAAAGAAAAAACUAAUAAUUUUCGAAAUUUCUACCAGAUUGAUCAUUUCUAAGAUGAAUUACAUAGACAAUGAUAUACACCGCUGGAUAAAAUCAAACAAAAUUCAGAUUUCACACAUCAGGGAAAGAACAGUACUUCAGAUUACAUGCACAAUGACACAUGAUGCUGCAUGAUCUACAAAUACUGCAAACUUGUAAUCGUAUGCAUAUACAGGUAAGAGUGGAUCUGUCGGUGAUAUUUGUAUAUGCCAGAUCUGAACGGAAACAAUAUGAACAAAAAUAGGGUGAAUCCGCUCAUCUUGUACAAGUUCAGCAAGGCUACUUACUGUUCUUCAGGAUCUUGUUUUCUCCACAAUGAUCUAUUGGUUCGGGCACCACUUUCGUAACCACUGCUGUCCCCUGAUUCAGUUACACGUUUAUCUGUUUUCUCAACAUCACAAUGAGUUCGCCCGUGUUCCCUUCCAGUUCUGCGGUCCUGAAAUCAGAGCACAAGGCAUUAUUGAAAAAGAAAAGGAUUUUAAGCUUAUAUUGUUCUGCUUGCAUGUUCAAGAAAUGAAAUCCUCACUGCAAUAUUAAAAUUAACCAAAGAAUUCAAACCCCUCAACAACCCCACAAAACCAGAAUUCCAUAAACCAUAAACCCAAGAGCAAGUGAAUUGGGAAAAAAUUAUUAUCUUAACUUUAUCUAUAUUUUAUUAAACAAAAGUUUACAGAAGAAAUACAAACAUAAUAUACGUGCAAAUUAGUUAAGAUCAAAUUUUAAAGCUUAUUGCCCCUCUCAGUACUUAGGAUUGCAUCGAGUGAGUUGAUAAUAACAAAGUCUAGAAAAUCCAAGCACAAUGCCAUUAAACUUCCCAUUAAAAACUAAAGUGAACACAUGAAGAGCUACCAUAAAAAAUGUUUUCAAUGCAUGACAGUGAUUCCUCUUAAACUUUAAAGCAAUAUAACCAUGGGAAGCUGUAUGAUACAAUUUCACAAUAAAAACAAAAGAAACAUGGAAAAGGAACUCUAACAAGGUGUACAACAGUUAGCUUGAAAACCAAAAGGCCUAUUUAAAAGAAUGAUUAGUUGCUUCACACCUAUAUGAACUUACAUCUCGGAAGGGGAACUCAUCAGCUUCAAGCAUAUGUAUCACAUGCCCCAUCUUUGGCCUCUUUUGUGCAUUUGGGUCCACACAGCGAAGAGCUACUAAAAGGGCACGCUUCAGUGCUCUUGUAGAAGGUUUUUCUGGUAACCUAGGGUCCAAAACUCCCUCUGCAUUCCGAUUUGUCACCAUUGUUUUAAGCCAAUCAACUAGGUUCACCUGAAAGUUAGAUUCAACCGUAAAAAUCAAAUAGAAAAACCUUAGGAAGAUUAUAUUGAACUGGUUGAAAUACAUCAUCAAGUAAAUUUGGAUAAAAACCUCUCCUGGAGGGCGGCUGUAAUCGACUGGGCUUCUUCCAGAAAUGAUUUCCAUGAGAAGAAUCCCAAAACUGUAUACAUCACUUCUCUCAUUCAGCAUGCCUGUACUGGCAUAUUCUGGUGCCACAUAUCUGUUGAACAAAAGAACAUAAAUUUCAUCAAAUUUAACUGGACUAAGAUCAUGGGGAGCGUAUAUCAAAUAGAAGUACAACUAAUAAAAUUUAGGACGCACCCAAAUGUCCCCAUUACACGAGUGGUCACAUAACUCCGUUCUGAGCCUAAGAGUUUUGCGAGGCCAAAGUCUGAUACUUUAGCAUUCCACUGCUUAUCUAGUAAAAUGUUGCUUGAUUUUAUAUCACGAUGAACAACCUUUGGUUCAAGUCCUUCAUGCAGGUAUGUCAACCUAUAUUUUAACAUUUGCAGACAUUCAGGAAGGGCAGAAAACACAAAGAAUUGAAUCUCUUAUGAUUAAUUAUGCGUUAUAAAUUAGUACCCUUUUGCUGUUCCAAGUAUUAUAUUCAUGCGAAUCUCCCAUGUAAGAGGGCUGCAAGGUCCAACAUCUCCAUGAAGCCACUGUUCUAAGUUUCCAUUGUCAACAUACUCGUAAACAAGCAUCCUAUAACAACCAUGAAUUUUCUUCAGUUCAGCAAUAUAACACAACCAAAUAAAAGGCCGGAAAGGUACUUUGAAAUUUGAAGAGUGAAGAGAGAAAUCCCAACUUGCAUUACUGAAACACAAAUACCAAUAGUCUAAAGUACAAAAUGGUAAGUACCUAUGAGCUCCUUCAGCACAAUAACCAAGCAGCCUCACCAAAUUCUUGUGCCGAACCCGACCAAUUGCUUCUACUUCUACCUUAAACUCCUUCUCAGCUUGUCCCCUACAUAAAAAGAACAAACUUUUGAAUCCCAUCCUAUCUCGGUGACCACGAAGUUUGCAAGCUAGAAGAGCAAAACCAUAACACUCGAAGAAAUGAGGAGAAAAACAAGGACAGCCAAUGCAUAAACAUCCAGCAAAUAAAACCCGUAUACUCAAAUUAUGAGGUACAGAUAAAAACCCGCAUGGAAAAAAGUAUUAAUAAUGAUGUUAUACCUAUUGUUAAGCAAAUUCUUGACAGCAACUUUAGUAUUAUCCUCCAUGAUACCACUGUAAACGAUCCCAUACCCACCUUCGCCAAUCACAUUCUCAUCAGCAAAACCAUUGGUAGAGACCUCAAGCUCUCUAAGAGUGUACCAAUGGCCCCACCCCAAAUGUGAAACUUCUGGUACCGCGAUAGAUGCACCGGCCUGAUCACCGGAACGAGCACCGGACCGGGUCUCUCCGCUUCCAUGGCCCGACCCACCAGCACGCUCCGGAUACGAUAUUCUGUGAUCCUUCCCAAUCUCAAUGUGAAUUCUGUUUCGCUCACCGACCGGACUAGUACCCUCUUCAUACUGUAGAAGCAGGACUGGUUCCGAUUCCGGCACUGGGUCCGGGCUAAGCGGUUUAGGGACAGGUGCCAGGUGCGAAGGGUCUAAGCGUAUCUCCUGAAUUUCCUUGGAGACGCUGGGGAUUGUGGGAUUAUUGAUAGAUGACUUGAAUUUAGAUUGUGCGGCAGUAUUGUUAUUCUUGUUGCGUUUAGAAGUGAACCAGAGAGAAAUAAGGAACAGAACAAGAACUAUGGCAGCCCCAACACAGAUACCAAUUACCACCCACAAACGUAAACCGAAGAUUGAGGUUCUCUUGGACAUCUGAUCGCUCAAGAAAGAAUGAUUAGACAUUUGAUUCUCUUCUUUCUUCUUCUCCUCCUUAUUCUUCUUCUACUACUACUACUACUACUACUACUUACACUUGUUCUCUUCCUUGAGGCAGCACCCAGGAGAGAAUAAGAAGAAAGAAGAAGGAGAUGCAGACAAGUACAGAGCAGUGGCAGAAAGGGAAUAAACUGAAAAGUUCAUAAAACAAAAGAAGAGAAAAAUGGGAAGAUUAAAAACGGAGUCAUAGAACAGUGAAGUGAGAAGUGAGUGAGUGGGGUUAGAAAUUGAGAUAGAGAAGGGAAGCAGCUGGCAUUGAUGGGACUUCUAGAAAGCAGGAAUUGCCAAAUGGUUCUAGUAGUGACUGUAAUUAAAAGUCUAAAUUAUGCAUUAGUGGGUCUUAUCUAAUAUAGGCACUUAAAUUAGUGGAAUGGAUUGGAGGAAUCUAAUCUACUCUACAAACACUAGGGUCUAAUUUACAUUUAUGUUUAUUUGAUUUUGGAUUUUGGGUUUGGGUUUGGUGUUGGUGGGAUUUUAUGGUUGGUUUUGGAUGCUUCCACAGCCAUUUAUGCCACUUUGAGCAAAAUAUUUAUUAUUUUUUUUAUAAAAAAAAAUUGUAAUAAGAAGUUAGAAAGAAAAACAAAGAAGAAGAAAGGCAUUUGGCUUUUUCAAUUUGGAGAAGAGAAUAUGACAAUAAAAGAGAAAGGAGGAAUUGGGUUGUGUAUAUGGGCCCAAUAUUAAGCAAGUGUGGGCCACAAGCUGCCAUGGGGGCCAAUCCAACCCAUCACUAGUAAAUGGAAGUGGAGUAGAAUCAAGAUUGCCAAUUGAAGAGGUACAUAACUCCAUGCCUUUCAACUUCAGUUGUGGAUUAGAUUAGAUGCUUUUGGUCCCCAUUUGGAGAACUCUCAACCACAAUUCAAUCUCUUUAUUAUUUAUUUCUCCAAAUUUUUAACUCAUUCAGUAGUCAUCUGCCCUUUUAUGUAUUUUUGUAAUGUUUCUUUAUUAUAUAUGGUUAGUCUCUACAUAUAAUUAGAUAAAAUUCAAAUAUUUAAAUAUUCAUUUUAUAGCAUUUGAUUUUCUUACCGUUGAUAUAUGAUUAAAAAGUUAAAUAUGUUUAAAUUAUUAUUAAAUUAUAAUUUAAGGGUAAAUUUAUUAAAAUGUAUGUAAGUCAUGGAGAUAGAAAUAAAGUAAUUAUAAUUUUUUUUAUAAAAAUUAAGUGUUAAAAAUUAAUUGAAGAAGGAAAUUAUAUAUUUAAUUUGUUUAUCCUUUUGAUAUAGGAACCAUAAUAAUAGCAGCAGUAGUGAUCCACAAAGAUGUAAAAUCUUGUGGAUCCUGUAGCAUUAAAUGCAUAGUCAUAUUGGGGUGAAUAAUGAGUUAUAGCUUCUAAGCAAUGUGAGGUUUUGUGUUAGAAGGUGAGAGAGGGGAGACACUUAUUAUCCUUGAGAGAGAGCAAGCAAUAAAAGAAAUUAAAGCAGUCUGGGAAAACCACAGUGCUUGGAGUUGGACCCAAUGGCUUCAUGGUUAAUAUCUUGUUACUUUUUGGUGUCAUAUUCAAAUGUCAUUAGCAGUAGUUUCCAUGAUUUCCAUACUCUUUCACCAUCUCAUUAAAUGAGUAGGAAAUCAGACUGUCUUUCUCCUAUAUAUUAUGAACACACCAGAGGAAAUGUUUCCUUCAACUUCACUUUUUAUCAACUUGGGUCCUAGCUAGGCAUCAUACCUUCUUCUGCUCAAAAGUUUUUUUUAUUUUUUUACUUUUUUGAUAUUAUUAAAAAUUUGUUUAAAUAGAAAAUUUAUAAUCAAAAUAGGUUAAUUAACUUUAUUUUUAUAUUACCACUGCUAGAUACUUGUCUGGUUAAACUUAAUUAAAAUAUGUUAAAUUUAUAAAUUCAGAACCAUCACAUUUUUUAAAUUUAAAUAAUGUUUAUUAUUUAAAUAAUACUAAAGAUUAUAGUAAAUUAAAAUUGAUAAUGAAAACUUACAACAUGAUACCUGUAUACAGCAUCAAUUUUAUGUGCAUCAUCUUCAUCUGUUUUAUGAAAACUAAAAGCCUAAAUCCAUGAGAGGAAUAUUCAUCAGCAAAGAAUUCGACAGACAAAAUGGGUAUAUGUAUAUAUGAGAAUUGACUUCUAUAAAUUCUUUGAUCUCUAUAUACACUUGACUUUUUUCUUUUUCUUUUUUUGGUCCCCAUUGUUGCAGAAAUACAACGCAUUUUUCUACAGAGUAAUGGCUUAACUAUACGCAAGCUAAUUAGAACAUCAUAUUCUCUGGAUACACAUAAACUCCUAGUAAAGCAAGGUAGCUCUAAAAGUUCAGGUAUUUCAGAUGCAUCUCUCCUGCUGGCUGUGGAGCAAGGUAUGGCUGUAGAGGAAGGUAUAGCUGUAGAGGAAGUUCUUGUUUCCCAUUGACUGUCUGGAAUCAACAUGACAGGAGCCAUAAGUUCAUCUCUCCUGCUGCUAGCUUGAAUGUGUCUUCCACUGACAAUGCCUCUGGAUACUGACCAGAAACCCCACCAGCCUGAUCAUAAAAAGCCUCCCAACAUUAGAAAAAGCAAACAAGGGAGAUAAUAAUGAAAGUGUCACUUUUUGCCUAAGACCAACAAAUGUUUGUUGCCACACUGGACGGCUAUCCACAAGAAUUAUGCUCUUAAAGCUUCUUGAAUUCUUGAAAAGUUAAAAGAAAACAGUAUACAACCAAUUAAAUGAAAGAAACCCUAGCCAUGCGUAUGGACCCAUCCAAAACAAAGAAAUAAAAACUUAAAAAGCCAGCAAGACUAUCAUAUAUAAAAUAUACUUACAUGAACAUGGAUCAUGUAAAUGCUACGAAAUUGAUCUGAGGAAAUAUGAGCAGAUACAACAUCCAGUUUAUGCUUCUCCAGGAUAUAGAAGAUGCUGGUGAGUAACCCUGGCCUCUUCAGUGAACACACACUAAUCUGUGCAUCACCCCCGCACAUGUUCAUUACAACAUUUGGAGAAAACCAUGUCUGGAAGCAAGACGGGGGAAGAGAAACUGGAAACGAAAGAGGCAUGUUCGUAGCCAUAGUGAAACUCUUUGAUGAUCCCUGAAGAGCCAUAAAAGCUUCCCUGGAUUCAAGUGCUUCUGUAUGUGAUGUGAUAACUGAUGGUUCACUGUCAACAAUUGUUACUCCUUGAAGCUUUUCUUGGCUUUGGUGUUGUAGCGUUUGAAGAGUUUCUUGGAGGUUCUUAAUGUAUUUUAUUGCUUCAUCGACAAUGGUGGACUUGUCUGCCUGCAUAAGAGCAAAACUUGGAUGAUACUUAUAUUUAUGAAGUGUAACAGGGUUACAAUUUGACCAUGCAUUAAAUCCUUAAAUUUUGCUGUCAUGAAUUUGCCCCGUUAAUAAAGGACUUUAGAAAUUAACAUAUCUAUGUAUACAUUCAUGAAGCAAUAUGCAUCCAAUUCUAGAGCCAUCAAAAGCUGAACUGUAUGUAUUUAAUUGGGAUAAUAAAUUCUAACUACAGUGGCGCCUGUUGUGACUGCUAGUAGCUAGGACCAUGGAACAGUAAUAGACGUACGUGAUCAACCACAAACUGACAAUAUUUAUGAUUGAGAGCAUUUGAAUCAGAAAACCCUAAAGUCUAAAAAGCGAAGUUACUGUGGCAUGUCCUCUGGCAGGCAAAUUCCCAACCAAGAUAUCAACGAAUUAAAGCUAACAAGUUCAUCAUGAACUAGUAUACGAAGAAUCAACUUGGAAUCCAUUAAUUGCAUGCAAAGGAAAAGGAUUUUCCUUGCUGGAGGCUGCAGUGUGGCUUCUUCAUAGGUAUUCAGUUCUAUGAAACUGAUCACCCACUUCUCCAAAUCUUAACAAAAAGGUAGGAGAACUCGAUCACACUACAGGAGUAGUAAAGCCUGAAAUUUAGUCAUAUACAUUAUUUUUUAAAUUGGGAGGAAUCGAUUAAAAUAAUAAGAGAGAUGAGUGGAAUGGCAAUGCUAAUGAAGUUUCUUAGCGUUCAUAUCAAGACACCCACUAUUGCAUAUCAUAGGAGCAUUAAAGCAAAUAUGUUAUGUGUUUCUGUUUAGUCUAUAUCUUUUACAUAUAAUUUACAUCAAUUUUGAACAAUUACAAAUACCUUAGCGGGGAGUUGAGGAAGCAAAGCAUGAAGGCUAGUGAACAUGUUCCUCAUCUUCUUCCUCCUUUCUCUCUCAGUCAAGAUGUGAACCUCAUGCUCUGAUUCAGCGCCACCAACAGAAUUAACAGUCUCUCCAUCUUUUGCAACCCCUUUUCUGUUUCUCUUUUGGCCUAGCUGAGCAUCUGGUGUCUCCAUAUGUGUGAGGCUAUUGGAGCUUGAAUUAUGUGUCUCCAAGCUCAAUUUUUUUGGACAGAGAAAAGGGAGAUUAUCGGAAUUGGAAUGAACUCUUGAAGGGAUUUGUUGAUGGGUUUUAUUUGAAGACAUGUUUGGAUUGAAGAGAGAAUGUGUAAGGGAAGAAAAGGAAGAAUUUUUAGAGUAGCAAAAGAGGAGAAGAUACCAAAAUAUAAUCAUGGGACAAUGCCGUUAUUUGGCUUCCAAACAAAAAACGGAAACUAAGCACAUCAUGUAAAGAUUUCCCAACCCGGGUCCACUAUGCAAACUUAAUUCAUCACCCUCUUCUUCCCAAAUUUUGAUUAUUUUAUUAUUAUUCUUAUUAUUAAUUUUACAAAUAGUUUGAAUAUUAUUAAAUUAAAACAUAUUAACUUUAUUGAAAAUAAUUUUAACUGAUGUUAAUAUAACUGUAAAGAAUAUAAAUCAUUGACUAUAAUUAAAAUUAAAUUUUUAGAGUAAGAGAUUAGAAUAUGAGAACUCGAAUUUAAGUCUAUCAAAUGAGCAAUAUAUAUAUUAUUAGAGAUGAAAUCAAGUUAGACUACACAUAAAGAAAAAAAAUUAAGAUUAGUAAAUACAAAAUUGAAGCAAAAUAACCGGAUGAAUUUAAUUUAUUAUAGAUAUUCACAUCUUAUUUUAAUUCGGUGGAAAUAAAAUGUGUAUUUAUAUAUAUAUAUAAUUUGCAAUUGAAUUCCAAUGAAAAGAAAUUAAAUUUUUAUAUUAUAUUUAGCAAUGGAUUAAAAAGGAAAAAAGCAAUGAAAUUUAAAAAUGAAUGAAAGUCUAUAAUAAAAAAUAAUUUUGGAAAUAGAUUAAAAUAUGUUUCUAAAUUUAACAUAAAAUUGAAAAUAAAAUUUAAAGAUGUAUUAAAAAUGGAUUUUAGAAAUAGAUAAUUGUAAUUGUUGUGCAUAUAAUGCAGAAUUGAAAAUAACAAUGAGCAAUUGUAUACCUCCAUUUUGCCAUCAAUAAAAAAAAAAAUUAUAUAUGGUAUUUUAAUAUGGUAGUUUUCACUCUUCAUUCUCCACCACCACCAAACCAAGGAAACGUAUACGCGUAUAACGUACGUACGUAUUGCAAGGCAUAAAGCCAAGACAAAGUGGUGGCUUCCUACGUGUCAUGUGUAAAGAAAUGCGUCUUCAAAACUGCGGGCUCAACAACCCCUCGUUUUCAUUUUUCUAAUAAUUUUUCCAAUUGGAAAGAUUUUAGAUCGGUGUAUCGAUUUAAUUUUAAGAUAUAAAUAUAUUGAUUUUUUUUUUUUAUGAGGGACCCAUUUUAUAUUCUAUGAUUGGUUUGGUGAAUAGAGUCUAAAUAAAUAUUUUUCUGAAAUUUAUUUUGCUUCUCAUUAUUUAUUUAUGGAAAACUAAUACAAAAUCAUCCUAAUUAAUCAUAGAAUCUGCACACAGUGACUUAUAUAUGUUCAUUUCUUCCUCAAAAACUUGAUACCCGGAGAUACAAGGGUUGUUAAGACAAAAUGAUUCGCCCUUGUGCUCUAUAAUAAUAAUAUUUCUUUUAUUUUUAAAGUUAGAGAAUUUGUUUUAUUUAUAUAUAUUAGUAGGAUAUUGCAGGUCUAUAGUCUCGAACUUAAUUUCUUAGGUGAAUAAUAUUUAAUUACUGAACAAAUUAAGUUAAAUUUUAAUUUUAUAUUGAUUAUAAAUAAUAAUAAACAAAAACAUGGAGAAAUUAAAAAAUGUAAUGGCUUUUAGGUUUUAUUUGCACACCUAGUGCGAAGUUGCUUUUUUGACAAGGAAUAGCUGGAUAUUUUGUUUUAAGCGAGGCCAACAAUCAUUUUGUAACUAACUUGCUGCUAGUAAAAUAUAAUACAGCAAGACCAUUAUCUGGUUCCUAAAGAACCUGCUGCUCCAUCCAAUGCAAGUUCACGUUAUUUGAGGCUUCCGUUACGGUUUUCAUGUAUACAAUUCAAGAUAAAUCAUCUUAUUAAUGAUCUAAGCUUUGCACAUGAAUUACUUCCAGCCUAAGAUCAUUCAGGACUUGACAAAAGCAAAACAGAGACAAUGGAAGCCCAAAGCUGUCUGUUAUCAAAAUUUGUACACGACAGGAUAGUUUUUAUAAGGCGAUGAUGAAUCUAGAAAACACCGUUUUAUGUGUAGUACAAUCUUGAGAUUUCAAAUUCAAAUGCCACGAAGUGAGAUGAGAAGAUUUAUAGGUGAAUCCAAUAAUGGAAACAAAAAGAACUUGUAUAUAAUGACUCCACUGGACGCAUUCCGCCUACUCCUUCGUAAUAAUGGUAUUCAUUUCACAGUGAUCCACAAGCAAAGAUUAACAAAAAAACAAAAAGACUACGAUAUUUAGUCAUAUGCACAUAAAAAAAACGAGCAUUGCAAUACAUCCUUCCACUUUACUUUCUCCUUUUGAGUACAGACUUCAGACAGUGCAGUAAUAACCACGCCUGUCAACCUACUGGAUCAUCUUUACUUUCUGAAUGAUAUAAACACCUUAAGAGAUUUUGGACAAAACAUUUCUAAGGGAUAUCAAACACUUUGGUUCCGAACAGUUGUAUGAAUCUGUCACAACAUAAUUAACCUGUUUAGGUGUAAAAUGUCAGCAGCAGUUUCAUGGACCAUUUGCACCUUAUAUGGCAAUCAUGGGGAAAACAGGGAGGAGGGAAGAGGGAAGAAGAGAUUGAUUAAACAGUUUUGUUGAUCCCGUAUCUAAGGUAAGAUCUCAACUAGGACGCACUGGAUGAAGUGGUCUUCACUGUUUGAUUUGUAUCUAAUGGUGCCUGUGAUGUGCCUUCCCUGCAGAUUUCCUUCAUUUUGCAAGAAAAUUGUGUUAAUCCAAACAAAUUCAGGUAGAUUCACUAAAACUUGACACCAGGAUUUACCUUUGAAGAUGUGGAGAGAUUGAAGGGUUCAUAAUGAACCUGAAUAAGUGGCUCAAAACCAUAGGAGGUUUCUGAGGAGGUGAUGUUUGUUGCUGAAGGCAGAACAAUUGUCUGAUUUGAUACAGUGCACCUGUUGGGAUGACUAAGAGCAGUACGUGCUGAGUUUUCUCCAUUCUCAGAAAAUGUAACUGUUGCUGCAUUGGUAUCUAAUAGUCCACUUCCCUCAUCAAAGGUCAAUCCUGUCAUGGGCAGGUUCAUAGGUGGUAGAACUCCUGGUAAGCACAUGGGAUGCAAACUUAAUCCAUUUCUCAUUGUUAACAUCUGCAGCCAGUCACAAUGGCAAAAGACUCAAAUAUGAUUCUAUUCCGAGCAUCUUCAUGGCUAUGCAACUCUGAAGAUAUAACAGCUCUUUAAUGUGCACAGGAGCAGUACCAAACAGAGAUGGUCAUUUUCCUUUGCUUUUUUAAAUUAAGGAUGGGUUGGGGAUUAGGUCCUUACCCCAUCUCAGGAGUGCAUGUGUGAAGAACCCAAAUUAACUCGUAGCUCUUUCACCAGCCUCAAUAGAAUAAAUAAAAAUGUGUUACAAUUUGUCUUGAGAACCACAUGGAGUUCAAACACCUAAUUCCGCCCUACAAACUUUUUAAGGCCAUAAGGUAAUCAAAGUUAGGUAAUCAAUUGGAACCUGUUUAGCUGAGGGCGUAGAAUUGACAAAAGCAAGAGCAAUCGAAUUAGAGUGCAGGCAUUGUAAGGAAAUUUUUAUGGAUGUUAGUUCUUGGAUCACAAUUAGAAUGAAAGCCUAAAACCAAAAUGCAUCCAUGAAUAGUCAAACAUAUUAGAAUAUUGAUAUUGUGUUCUCAUCUCUCCCCUUCCUUUUUCUCACCAUUUUUAUUUCUUCCUUAUCACACUUUUAUAUGAAAGCUUUAACAAAUGCAACCGGAUUAGUUCUAGUUCUAGUUACAUGAGCAUAAUGCAGCAGCUGACUUUGUGAAAUCUAUGAAAGUUAAGUAUGUAGUAGUGAAUCUGGUCAUAUUUGCUUCCAUGCCCUCUCACUGAUUGCCACCAUCAUGCCAAGCUAAAAAUAGAUUUAGAUAUGCCACACUCAGGGAUACCCUUGCCCCCCUCUUUUAUUAUAAAGUUUAAUCAAGUCAACCAACAUAAAAUAGCAGGUUUUCUGGUUCACAAAAAAUGCUCACUUAUUUCUCAAAUCAUAUACAGAAGAUCCAGUACCAUUUGUAGCAUUGGAAAUAUCCAUUAAUUCCAUAUUCUUACUCUUCCCGGACAAUCUAGAAUUUAUGAGAAAAAAUAGAAAAGAAUAUCUAAAUUAGGUAGAAGAUAUAAUAAUUACGCCCACUACAUCAUCAUAAAAUUGUUCUGCUGCCAAAAUAUGGAUAUGCAAGGUUAAUCUAGCAACCGUGAUCAACAAUUUUGUAUCAGGUAACUGCCUAAAGAUUCAUUGGCUGACGAAAAUAGUUUCCAGUCCUCAUAAUAAUAUAGAUUGCAAAGGAGGAUAAAGCUCUCGAUUAUUUUGGAUGAUCUCAUCCACAGGAACAGAGUAAAAAAUAAUGAGAAGAGAAUCAUAACAGAAAGCCGGUUGCUCUUAAUUGCAACCUGAAUUAAAAUUUCAAACAAGGAUUUAGUGAAGGUGAGCACUGACCUGUACUUGAAGCUGAAGCUGCUUCAAGUAUUCGAUUGCCUCAUCCAGCAUUGAAGCCUUAUCGGUCUAUCAUAACGUGAUAAAUAACAUCAAAUCAUUUCUUCGAAAUUCAAUAUUACAAACUCCUAGACUAGGAAAAUUGUUGGCGGAUUACCUUAUUGGAAUUUGGAAUAAGAUUCUGUAAAGCCUUCAUUUUCUCAUUAAUUCUGCUCCUCCUCCUCUAUUAACAAAUUCAGCCAUUUCCAAGUAAACUCAUAAAUCAAAUUUCAAUUUUAAACACCGGCACACGUAGAAAUGAGGUCUCAAAAUCUAACCUUUUCGGAUAAGUUAUGAACCUCUGCAGCUCUGCUUCUCUUCGAGGAGCUUCUAGGCCGCACCGUCUCCGAUGGCACCUCUGACACAUCUGCACCCUUCUAAAAGGAGGAGAAUAUAAAGAAACCAUGGUCACCAAAAUUUCGAACAAUUAGUAGGCCAUCGCUGAUAAAUAUCACUUUAAAUUGCUAUUAACUAGACACAUGAUUAAAUAAAAAGAUAAUUUAUUAAAAAAACGACACAAAUCUUUGAAGCAAACAUCAAAUCAAACAAUUACCUCGCUAUCGCAGCUUAAGCCACCUAGAUCAUUCUCCUCAGAAACCCCUCUCUUUGAAAUAACUGAAGAGACAGCAUUUUCCGCACUCUCUUUGGCGAAAUAACCACCGGGAUCAGAGAAAUUGAUGCAGGAGUUGCCGCCGUCUGCUCGGCAAUCUUGGGAGUGGCCGAAUAACAAUUCAGCCGGAGGUUUAGUCUGCGCCGGCGCCGGCGCCGGCAGCGGGGGAGAAGGAGAAGAGAGAGCAUGGUGCAUGAAUUUAGCAGAGGGAGAGGAAGAGGAGGAAUGGUGAAGGAGUUGGUGAAGGAAGGAGGAGAUUUCUUCAGGCUCCGGAGCUGGAGAAGGAGCAGUUCCGUACAGAUCGGCCAUGGAUAAAUAAAUCUGAGCAACUAGAAAAGAUAAUAGAGAAAGCAAUGAUAGAUUCUUGGUGAGAGUCUGGUCUUUGUAAAACCGUCGUUGCCCGACCUGUGUUCUCUUUUUCUGUGCUUGUUCGCUUUUGGUCUCUUGGGGAAAGGGUUUAUUAGCUAAUGAAGCUUUUUUGAUAUACGAAGCCGGUGAGCUUUGAUCAAAUUUGAUUAAUCUCCCGCCUUAAUUAAAAGCUUUUCUUUAUUUUUCUUUUACUUCAAACUCCCUAUUGUUUUCCAUAAUUGUAUUCAGACGCCCAGUUUUUAUCUUAUUCUCAAUUUCUGCCACUUCUCCCCUCGUUUAUUCUCUAUUAUACCCUUAGCGUCAGGCUGAACGUUUUUCUUCCCCUUGUGAUUUUUUUUUUAACAAUUAUUGAUCAAGUAAUUUCUUUCAAAUUUGCAAUAUUAUAUAAUUGCAUGAAAUGUUUAUAUUUAUUUUUUUACUUAUUUUAAAUUGUAAAUUACAUUUUUAAAAUAGCCAUUCAUUUAUAAAUAAAAAUAAAAUUUAAUAAAAUAAUGUAAUAAUAUUGAUAAAAUGUAUAUUCAAUUAAUGAUGCUGAGGGAUAAGAGGGUGAAAUAGAAAAAUAAUGGAAGGGGUUAAAAGUCAAAGAGAAUCUCUAUAAUCGAGGAAAACGUCAUCUUAGCCUGAAGAGGCAGAAUUAAAUCGCUGGACUACAAAAAAUUAGAAAAAAAGAGGUGCAAUUCCCGAUGUCACUUAUAGUGGCGUGUUAGCGAAAUAUGAUCCACUUAACCAACACUGUUUUACUCCAUCUAGACCUAACCCAAUCUCAAUCUGGAAAGUUCCACCUACUUCUCACCCUAUAUCGCCAGUGGUAUAUGGAGUACUUCACAGUAACCUCGAUCUUCAACAAUCCCCGUUAAGAUCUUUUUUCCCCGAACAAGAAUUUAAGGUAAUGCCGGAGAAAAAAGAGUGAACAAGUCAUUUCGAAUAAAAAAUAGCCUCAGCAAAGGUUGUUUGUACCCAAAACACCAUUACCUACAGGCCAGAGUCAGAGCCGUGUUCAUACUCCACCUACAGCCUUCCCGACUUGAGCAUUAAUCACAAGCGUUACGCAGCUUUUUUCGCCACAGCGGUGUCUUUUGGCCCAGAAGCCGUCUACAAAAGCGGAGGAAGUAACGGAAAAUGGAGGGGGGAGAGAGGAACAAUAUGGGGUAUGGAGUUCAGGCUCAGAUUUAGCGGCAAAAUAAGCCUUGGUCCAGCCGUUUUUUGCAGAUACAGGUACAGUUUACGUAAGAACCUGUCUUCAUUCUAAUAAUUUCAAAGAAAUGAUGCAAUACAACAAAGCUAUGAAAAGGGCGAUGACGUGUUGGCCAAACCAUAAGACCAUUCCAAACUCAAACCCGACUCAUCAGAUAUGAUAGUCGGUUUCCUAUGCCAUUUCCCCGUAUCCUCUCAUGCAGGGACUGCAAUGCCAAUAAAUGAUAAAAUUUUUGAACAAUUAUGUUUGGUUACAUCAGGGGAAUUAAAAAAUAAUAUAAUAAGAUAGGCUUGGCCUGCCAUUAGGCUACCCAAAAAUGUCGCCAGACGCAUUGAUACACUAAAUAAAUAAAAUAAGAAGAAAAAAAGGGGACGGGGGGACACAAUGAAUAUCCAACAGAAACUAAUUCUUCAAUGAAACAGAAUAAAAUGUUCAAAACCAGUUUUGCAACUCCGAUAUUUCCUUAAGACAGUUGAAUCAUCACCAUGGUAUCUGUUUCUUUUGAAGAAACAAAUGCCUUCCUCUGGUGAGUUAUGCCAUAGAUUACUCCAGAUGGACAAAUCUUAAGACUCGAUGCAAGCCACUACUCGCCAGGAUAACGAAUCCAAUCACCAAGAAUAUAUGACAUGCACCAACCUUUUCCUCAUAUUCUGAGAACAAACUAAUUGCCUAAUCAUCAAGCGUCUUAUCAAGUACCAAGACCCGUUGUUUUACAAAUGGGGCACCAAUUCUUAAGCAUCAGCCAUUGCUUAAUACAGUCGGUGUGAAAAUCGUGCCCACAGUCUAGCGUACCCACAUCUUCUCCAUUAUUAUAUUCCUCCUGCACGCACGUAAAACAUUAUAUAAGCUAAUGACAGAGGUACUUGAAGGAAUAACACACAAGACAAAAUCGGUUACCUGACAAAUGCAACAAGGUUCUGCCUCCAGUGCAGUCCUUGCUGCAACAGAAUACUUCCUCUGCCUUAGCCGGGUUAAGAUAGUUUCCUCGCUCAAUCCGGUGCUAACAUUUCCAAUGCGCUCUUCCAAGGCCAACAAUUCCUACAAUUCCAAGAACAGUAAAAAGCAUUGCAUUAUGAAACCAAUGUAAAAAAUCAACCAGAAAGUUAGAUGGCCAAAAACCUCCUAUUUUACCUCAUAUGACAUGUUAUCAACAUCAAGUCGCAUAUCCCUAUGCCUAUCAUGAACAUCGGCUACUCCAAAAAAUACCGAUUGGUCAAGAAUCAUGACAUCCUGAAGCACAAAUACAAAUCAAAUAAAUAUUAUUUUAUCAUAAGAAGAACACAAAAUUUCACUAAUCUUGUCUGUCAUGGUUUUAAGGUUCAAUGUUCAUAUAUGAUAACAUCAAAUGUUGGAAGCCCCACAAACAGCACUCUUCUUCUUGACAUCAUGCGCUAGAUAUACAUGGCAUGUCAAUUGUCAAACAAGGGGGGAAAAAAAGAAAUAAAAAAGAAGAAGAAGAAGAAGAAGAAGAAAUAGUAAUAUAAGAUAACGGAGUUCACAAAUUAACCAUGUGCCCAUUGCAUACUUAGGGAGAACUAUAUAGGAACCUGCAUAGUGCUUUAAUUUUUUUAAACGUUAGAUUAGGCAUUCAGAAAGUCUCUAUCAUUAUAGUAGAUAAAACUAGAUCCUAUUAAUUAAAUCACAGGAAGUGUUACAGCCAUGACUGAGCAGUGGAACUAUUUGUUGUCUUCUCUCUUACAUAUCACAUAUGUAACGCAAAAUAAAUUAUGCAAAAGUGGAACUAUUUGGUAAUGUUUCCACCACUACGCUUCUGAUUAACAAAAGACAUCAUUUACUGCCAUAACACUGAAAAUAAAUAAUUAAUGCCCUCUUGAAUCAUCCUUUCAAGCUAGAAAAGGAACCAGUUCCAUUGCUUAUUGAUUAAGUUCCCAAGCAGUGGCCAACACCAAUAGACUGAGAAAUGGAUUAUCUGCCUGUUACCCCACUUCAUAAUGACCAACUUGACAAAGAAUUGCAGCUUAAAUAUGAAAAGGACAAACUAAC
rnacentral:lncRNA from 1 species